rnacentral:lncRNA from 1 species
AGUUUUAGGUCGGAUUUGGUUAUAUUUGGAGACUAGGUUUAGUGGGGUUUUGUUCUUUUUAGGGUAGGAUUUGUGUUUGGUUUGUUUUAGAUUAGUGGGCUUUUUCAUAUAUGAUCACUAUUUGAUUACUUAAACCAAUUGGUUUGUUGGGGAUUUAACAGGUAUUAUGUUGUUUAAUUAGGGAUGUUUACUAUUAUUUAAUGUGUUAUGUCCUCUCAAUUGCACUAAUUGCAACUUCUAGGGUUCCCUUUGUACAUUUUUUUUGCUUUACCUAUCUGUUAUCUUGUUGAUUUUACAUAAAAUUUUUAUGAAUUUUGUUAUGGGCAUGUUCCUUUAAUGUUUAUAAUAAUAACUGAAGAAGAAGGAAAAAAGAAAUUGAGCCUCAUUAAGGUGGGUGUUAUUUUGCCACUUAUAGUUGGUAGUAUUUAUUGGUUUUGGCCUAUAUAGAGAUAUUUAACAAAUGUGCUUAUAAUCUCUCUCAAAAAAAAAAAAACAAAUGUGCUUAUAGGUUUUGACCUAUAUAUGAUUUUGCCACUUUUCUAGGUGUAGGGCUAAGCUAAUUGCUAAUCCAAUUUCAACUUAAUUACACUUUCUUAAUGCAUCUUUCCGUGAAAUACAUGCCUAGAAUUAAUUUUUUAUUACUGUAGUGUUUAUUUAAUCAGGGUUUUUCUGGUGAAGGUUAUAACCACAUUUCUUCUAGGAUCAGUCAUUGCAGAGGAUAUAAAAUAAUCGACAACAUUAUAGCGUCAUGCUCCUUUGGGGACCAUAUUAAUUUAUUUGAUCAUAUGGACAACUUUAUGAGGGCAUUAUAACCAACUUAAACUAUGCUAAUUAUGCUUCAUCUAGCCUUUAAAGCUUACCAUGCCAAGUAACUUCCUGGCCACUAUUUGCAUUAGCAGUGGAUCUUCUCAAUUUCGGUCACAAGUAAUGUAGGGUUUCCUUUACUAGAAAUCAAUUUUCCUAUUCUCAAAACUUAUUGUAUAUUCUCUGAUGGCACCAACAAGUUAAGCCUUAUUAAUAUAGGCCCAUCCAGUUAAGGAAUCUACAACAUUCUGCUUAUAUAAAACUUGUUGAUUAUCUAUAUAUGUGAAUGGCAACUUCUAUUGUAGUGUUGCCGGCAUUGCACUGCUAUGAUGUCUCAGCAAUGUGUGUGAGGCUUUGAUUGUGUCUUAUGUUCGGGAGUUUGGACUUUGGUGCCAUAAUCAUAUAUUUUGUAAUCAAAUUUUGCUAUCAUCUGGUGUCUAUAUUAGUAUUUUUUAUUCUGGAAAUUUUUUUACCAUAAUUAUAGUUAAGCUGAUAUAAAAAUCCUAAACAAGUUUUUAGCACCUGGGUUUAUCUAUCUAGGGGGCAUUUUGAUGAGCAGCUAUUGUUGCUAAUUAACUUCCGAUAAGUUGUUCUGCUUCUCUUCCAUUUCCUUGGCAUUUUCUAUAUAAUAGACAAUGAAGUAUUAUAGGAUUUGUAUUUUAUUUUUCUUUUGUUCACAUAUAUCCUAUGAAUGGAUUUUUAUACUGUACCAAAUAGGCAAGAUUAUGGAAAUAUCCAUGCAAUGUUAGUUUCAUGUAUGCUAAGGGUGGCUAUGCAAAAAAAAAAUCUGUUUUAGCAUAUAUAACCCUAGCAUGGCCAUGAAUGUAGAUAACUACAGUUUUAGGGACACAUGCAAACACCACCUUUGCAGGGGUACUCGUUCAAUUUUGUGUGUUUGCAGGUUGUAUUUAUGCAAAACUUAAUCUUAUAAUCUCUCUCUGAGCAAGAAGUCCAUUGAUAGUAUUAUGACUAAUCACGAGUUUCAAAACUUCAUUAUGUUUCACAAUAAUUUGAAAUUUUUACCCCUUCUCUUUUUCUUUCUUCUGCAGAGGUUUAUCUUUGGUGGCAGAUUGAUAUUUGGACCAGAUGCAAAAUCACUUUUUAUCACCAUUUCACUAAUUGUUGUUCCUGUUGUGAUCUUUUGUGUAUUUGUUGCAAGAAAUCUCCUUCACAAAUUUCCAGAAUAUGAUGCGGGAUAUGCUGUUCUGAUUGUUGCAAUAGCCUUUACAAUUCAUGUUAGUAGUCUUCUCCCAUUUAAACAUGUCGAUAAAUUCAUAGAAAUUGUUUCUUAUUAACUUAUUUUUUAUUGUUCUGUAUGAUUAGUUAAGCUACAAUAUUGUAUCUAUUGUUUUAUCUCAUUUGACUAAGAUGUUUAAAACUUAUUCAUAGGUUAUACUAAUACAAAUCUAGUCUCUGAAGUUUUACUCGUAGUUUUAACCAAUGUUCCAAAAAGAAGUCCUGUGGCCGUAUACGUGGCUCGGACCAUAAACCACACUGCAUAUGUCAUAUGUGGUGCAGUAUGCGAUCGGACAACAUAUGCGGCUCAUAUGCGGCCAUAUGCGGCAAGCGGUCGCAUAUGCAGUAAGUAUUUUGUUUUUAAGGUGGGAUUAAAAUAUAACAUUCAAUGAGAUUGUUUGAUUAAUAAUUAUACAUAUAUGUAUGACCAUUUCCAUACAGGUUUAAUUAAUAAUAAUGUAUAUAAAUGCAAUUAUCUUUAUAUAAAUAUAACCUAACUAUUUUUUCUUCUUAUUUUAGGUAUUAUUCCAAAUCUAUCUAAUAAUUAUGUUUAAAUAUUGAUGAAUAAUUUUGUUGUAUGUUCGAUGUUAUUAUAGUAAUUUUUUUUUAAGUGUUGGCCUCUCAAAUGAUGCGAAUGACAAUUUACUCAAAAAGUUAGUAUUCUUCAUAAAAGUUUAGCAUACUGCUUUUUAAAACAUUAAUUUUUGUUCGACAUUUUUAUGAUUUUGCAUCAAAAUUUUAUUUAUUUCUAUUUAAUAAUUAAGAGUAAAUUACUAAUUGUUAGUUUAGUGAUGCAUGUGUGCAUAUGAGCUCUUUUACUUGUAAUUAAUUAUUUUAAUUUGUGAAUUCUGAAUUGGUAUUUUGGUUAUUUAGCUUUGUUAGGAAGCAUUUAUAUAUGGUUUUAAUACCUACAAAUAAUUUUAUACAUGGACCACAUAUGCGGCUGGAUACUGCAUAUGCACUAUGUUAUAGGUAACUGCAUGGAUACUGCAUAACACUUUUUGGAACAUUGGUUUUAACUAUAACAAUGUUAUCCUUUAAGUUUGUAAUGCAUAACAAUUAAGUCCUUCUAUAACUAUACUGUCUGAAAAAAUGAACCAAUAAUUAGCAGCAUCAUUGGACUUAGUUUGGUUAAAAUAGAAGUUUUGGGAAAUAAUUUGAAAUGGGAGUCAAACCGAGGGAUUACAUGUAGAUUGGAACUGAGUUUGAUAUCAAAAUCGGAGUCAAAACACGUCGGAGAUUAAAUUUGUAAUUUUCCCAGAUAUUAUUGACUCAUUGUUGCCUUGUAUUUUCUUUCUUUUUUCCUUUUCCCUUUUUUUUUUUUUAUUAGUAACCUUGUUUUUGUACUCUAAAGCUGAUGGACAGCUAUCAUAAUAUAUAUUCUUUUGGCUGUUAUUUUAUUUGGCAAUAAAAGUGAAAUCUACCCUUGUUUUGUAUUAUUCUAGGUGCUGCUACUGCUUUUUCUUACUUCAUCUCGAGAUCCAGGUAUUGUACCUCGUGCAUCACAUCCACCAGAGGAAGAAUUUUCGUAUAAUACUUCAGCCCCAUCUGAGAUUGGUGGGAGGCGUACACCUGGUCUACAAUUUCCGCGAAUAAAGGAAGUAAUGGUUAAUGGUAUGCCUGUGAAAGUAAAGUACUGCGACACUUGCAUGGUCUACCGGCCUCCUCGUUGUUCUCAUUGCUCCAUAUGCAAUAACUGUGUGGAACGCUUUGAUCAUCAUUGCCCUUGGGUGGGACAAUGCAUUGGACAGGUGCACUACAUCAUUUUCUGCCUUUUAUGUAAGGAUUUUGCAUUUGUAUCCCCCACAAAAUAAUUUAUUUGUGUAAGUAGAUAAUCUUGCAGGAGUAUGCAUGUAAAUAUCUCUUUACUGUAGUCAUAGUAUGUGGAGUACUGGCUAUUAAUCUCCUGGAAAACUAGUAAGAUCGAGUCAUCCCGCAAUGUAAAUUACAUCUUGUUUUCCAGCAAGUAGCUUAUUAUGGUGAGAACACUAAGCUAUUUCCUUAAAUAGGUUUGGUUUUAGUUUUGGUUUAGCUUACUCAAAACAAUCUUUUGGUUUAGUUUUAUGCCAUUCAUUACUCAAGUCAAUCUUUUGGUUUAGUUUUAUGCCAUUCAUUCUUUAGAAGCAUUCAUUCUUACCCACUUUGGUCUAUUAGAUUUAAUAGACUGAUGUGCUUCACUUCUUAUACUUUUUCUUGUUUUUGUGCAGCGUAACUACCGCUUCUUUUUCUUAUUUGUUUCUUCGUCAGCUCUUCUCUGCAUUUAUGUGUUUGCAAUGUCGGCAUUAUACAUCAAGAUUCUCAUGGAUGAGGAUUAUCCUACUGUUUGGAAGGCAAUGAAAGAGUCUCCAGCAUCUGUGGUGCUAAUGAUAUACUGCUUCAUUUCUCUUUGGUUCGUGGGUGGUCUUACUGGUUUCCAUUUGUACCUCAUUGCCUCGAACCAGGUCCGCUUUCUUUAUGACAAAAAUAGAGUGAUUGUAUUUUCCCCCCCCUUUUUCUACUAAUUACUUUUUUGCUGAAUUGCUUUCCCUGUUCUUUGGGGUGAAUGUUCUCACAUGAAUGUGUAAUUUGGAUUUAUAAAGCCAAGCCAUGAUAAUUCUCGAGCCUUUUUAAUUAUGCACUGUUGUUUUUUCACUACGAAAAUUAUUUGGCACAGUGUUAUAUGUUGACAAAAUGGCCAAUAUAUUGUAGAUGCUUGAGGUGUGAUUAGGAUAUGAAAUAUAAGUUGGUACUAUUGUACCCGCUUACAUAAUAACCUGUUUCUAUGGUAAGUGAGCUUAUUUCUCUUAGUAUAACUGUAUUUGUAGAAGCUUUAGGAAAACUAGUUUCUGUGUUUUUUUGUUUUUUCUAAAAUAUUGAAUCAGACAAAUGAAAGAAAUGGUUCUGAAAUCCAUAUAGAUUUCUUAUUGUACAUGUCAUAUUAAAUUAAAAUUUUUGCAAGUAAUGCAAACUUAUUCAUUCCUCAAGUUUCCUGGUCAUAAUAAGUGAUUGUUUUGGUUUCCACAGACCACUUACGAGAACUUCCGGUACAGAACCGACAACCGUCAUAAUGUCUACAGUCGAGGUUGUCUUAAGAACUUUCUAGAAGUCUUUUGCUCCAAGAUAGAACCUUCUAGAAACAAGUUCCGUUCCUAUGUACAAGAGGAAGUCGCAAGGCCUUCUCCUUUCAUUCAGAAUAGGGAGAUGGUGGCAGAAGACGAACCCCCUCGAGGCCCACGUGCAAAGGUCGAAGACGAUCUCGAGAUUGGUGGUGAUCUUUUGAAGAUUUCACGCCGUCAUCACUUUGAGGAUGUGGAUGAAGAGCUCAAUAGCAGAGACAGAAUGGUCAACUUGGUAUCAGAUUCCGAUCUUUCUGUUAUGGAUACACAAGGUCCUGUUAAUAAAAGGGAGGAACGAAGAAGUGGAAGUUGGAAUAUCUUGCCCGAAGUUCUCAGUGCGAGCUCUUCACUUUCUGAAGCUGGAGUUGUGUCCAGAAAGGAAGAACUUAAUCAGCCGUAGAUAUAUUCUAAAACCAAUUCCAUAUCUUGUAUCCUUUUGAGGCGAGAAGAAAAGGCAAAUUUGAGGAGGAAGGAAUGAAGUACCAUGGAGGUUCUUCCACUCGACAGCCUUUUGAGCUCUGUAUGUGCUCUCGGUUUUCCAAGUUCGUAUUUGCGUUAGUUUCAAUUAAAGAAGCGGAGGAAUUUGAAAGCCAUGCCAAGUGCUCUCUUUUCUUUUAUCUUGAUGCUUGUGUUUGUAGUGUUUUUUUUUGCAGGUGUUUCACAAUUCUUUCUGUAAAGCCCUAUUGCAGGAUAUUCAGAAUGUUAUGUAUUCUUCUUCUUUUUCUUCAUCUUCUGUUGCUUCUUUUUUCCUCUGAUAUCAAAACAUGUCAUGUAUGUAUUUCUGCUCAUUUCAGUUAACAAGGAAGAAGCUUGUAGAUUGUUGAUUUUCCUUCGAAGGCAUCUUGAAUAGUUAUAUGUCUAUGCCCUGUCAGUUCUUUUUCGGAAGUUUAAUCUAAAUUUCCAUACUUAUAUCGUAAUACCGGAUAUAGUAACAAGUGAUCACUUUCAUAGAAGCUCAUCUAAAUUGUGCAUGGAUAUUGCGUUGCUUUUCUGCCCCACAACAUUGCAUGCCAGAUGUCUAUUGCGGGAAUGCUGUUUGUUGUCUUGCUCUCUUUCCUCUUCUUGUCCAUGAUCAUUCGGAAAAUUAGGAUGAAUAUCUAGGCCAAUGUAUUUUCUGACAUGUUUUGUAUAAGUUGCUGAUCUAUGUUGAUUUGCAGGGAAACUAUUCAUCUGAGUCAACUUGAUUGGUGUGUGAUGGCUCCUAACUAAUGUAAGUAAUGCACGUUUUGUGUUUUCGUUUUUGCUUCUCCUCCUCUUUUUUUUUUUUUUGGUAUUUGUGCUGUGUAUAAAUUUGCUUACUGGAUAAAAAAGUACUUAAUGAAAACGCACUAUGGUGCCUAAAUGUUGUGAUAGAAAACCCAUUGACUACUUUAUUCUAUCUGACUAAGACCCACAAUUUGCUGCAGUUGUUAUCAUGGAAGUAGUCGGCUGCCGUGACGAUGCCGCCCGACCCACUAUCCGACAUGUUACAGUUUUCAACGGGUUAUGUGCGCCUGAUCAUUCGAGGUGGACUUUCGCUGUAGCGGUCGGUUGACUUUGAAGGUAAGAAAUGUCUUAAGUCUGGUAUCUUCAGUUGACUUCAUUUUCAAACAAAAUUUGGAUACUUCGCCACUUGCUUUGUUGCGCGAAUUCAACUGUUAGUUAUUUGUUGGUUGUUUGCUACAGUGACGUAUUUAUUGGUGGAGUUAAUGGAUUCAAAGGUUUGACGUAUUUAUUUCAUUAGUCAAUACGUAUCCAUAGAGAGAGAUAUUAUAGUACCAAUGAUGUGAUAUAGUUUAAAUUGUUUGAUAGCAACAGUUGUGACCACAAAUUGCCAUUCCCAUACGUUACUCUCACUGAUCAUAUUUUUUGCAACUGGAUUCACGGAGUUGAGCUCACAAAAGAUUUUUUUUUUUUUUUGAAAAAAAGCUUUUUGUUGUUACCUUUGAUUGCUACAGCCACACAAUUUGGGGCUUGUUUGUUCCAAGCUUUUGCUCUGCUUCUCUUUAAGCUGUAGUUUUCUAAGAAAGAGUGUUUGGUGAUAAGAAAGGUCUACAUCUUCUAUCUCAGUUGAGAUUUGGAGAUGCAAAAAAAACAGAAGCUCCAGUUUAGUCCUGCUGAUUCGGAAUGUCAACUGGUCUGAUUCGGAUUCGAAGCGAAUUUUUAAGAACUCGAACCUUAACGCGAUGGGUUUUGAAAAUUCAUAUCCAAAUCCGAAUCCGACUGAAAAUCCAAAAAUCCAAAUCUGUACCGGAAAAAUACAAUUUGAAGUAAUUAUUUUUCUUUCUCAUAUUUCAAAACAUAUAAUAAUAAAAUUUAAAUUUUUAGAACACAAAUUUAAAUAUAGUAUCGAACAUUCAUGUAUAUGUGUGUGUGUGUGAGAGGCCACUAUAGUAUUGAAAUUAUAUACGUUUGCUUUUGGACCCUUGGAUAUCUAGGAUUUAUUAGUCGGUGGUGGUAACAGUAUGGAUCCAAGAGUCAAAAAGAUUGAAGUUGGUGCUUCCAAUAGUAUCGGAGCUCAACUUUAUAUAUAUUAUAUUGUAAAAUGUAUUCGGGUUUAGAAGGUUCCGGUUGAGUAUGGAUAAAAUUCAUAUCCUUGUACACAUCUGUCGGGUUUUCGUUCUUUAUACUUACAUUCGAAAUCAUGUUUAUUUAGCAUUAGAUAAAUCUGUCCCAUUCGGAUUCAGAUUCGGAUGAAAUUUUGAAUAUUCGUACCCAUUGACUUUCCUACUUCUCAUUCAGUUAUAAAUGAUUUGUUGUAGAGAGUUGUUAGUGUGGGGGAUUGAAAAUAAAGAGCCUUUCGAUGAGCACAGCAUUAUUGAGGAGCGCCUCAAUGAAAUCUUAUUAAGAUGGCUUUGUGAGCCGUAUGAUUCACUCUAUGCUCGAAUCUUAAAGCUAUGUUCUCCUAAAGUUCUCUUACAAGUAUUGUUUAUAAAUAACAGUAUUUUAUUAAAUAGGGGCAAUUUUAAAUAUAUCCCUCAAAAUUAUAAAAAUAUCACAAGUACUCUUUCAAAAUUAUCAAUAUCAAUAUUAUCCCCUAUAAUUCUAUAUGUUAUAUCAUAAAUGCUCUUUUGUUCAGUUUUUUAAGGUUUAAAUUACAAAAUAACCUAUUUACCCCUUAUAAUAGUUAAUUAUCAAUAAUUUAUAACUUUAAGUUUAAUUUAUAUCACUUAGAAUAGUAUUUUUAUUUCCCAGACACAAUAGUUCAUAUAAAAAUAAUCAAAUUAAACUAUAAAAAUAUACAUUUGAAAUAAAAGUAUAGCAAGAUAAAUCAAAGAUAAAAUAGAAAACUAUCAAACUAUAUAUAACAUAAUAUAAAGAUUUAAAAAGUAAUCAAAAUAAACUAUAAAAAGACAAAUAUGAAAAAAAAAAACUCAUAAUAAUAUAAACUGAAGCUAAAAUAAAGAAUUUUCAAACUGCAUCUACAACAAUCUAAAAAUCUUAAAAUAAAUCUAACCAAAAAAUAUCUAAUUCUUCCAUUUGUAAUUAAACAGAUAAAAUGGAUAUAUACUAAUUAAAUGAAAUAAAAUAAAAAUAUAUUAAACUAGUCAAAAUAAAGACAUAUUAAAAUAAUUAAAGUAAACUAGAAAAAUACUUAUAAUAAACACAUAGUAUCUUGGUAAUAAAAUAUGUAUUAUGACAGUUGUAAGAGUGAGAGGAGUAAUAGGGGUAUUUUAGCCAUAUUUUUUUUUUGAAAUACAGGUAAUAUGGAUAAUUUUGAUAAUUUUAUUAACUUUUAAGAUUAUUUUUGAUAUUUAAUUUUUGAAGGGUAUCUAUAUAAUUAGGGAUGGGUGAGAAGGUCCCUAUCAAAUUAACCCUAAAUGGUGUUGUGCCUUAUAACAAGAUUAAACAUACUUGAAGUAUAGGAUUGAAUUGGAGGGAGAGUUCACAAAUUUACACAUAAAAAAGGAGAAGGUCACAAGAAGCCCAAAUGUAAAAUGGUCCCUAAUGAAAUAAUAUAAUUUUUCUAAAAAAUUCAUAGGUUGAAUAAAUUUCAACAAAUAUUUUAUAUCUUUUCGGGAGGUAAACCAUUUCCCUAAAAAGUUUGAAAAAGAUGUUGUCAAAAAGUUGCACAUUGAAAAUUGAGCUUUGAACUCACACAGUCAAUUUUCAAGUACUUGGCAUGAUUGAGAAACAGAUUUUUUUCUUCUUUUUUUUUUUUAGCCUUUUAAAUUUUAAUGUUGGGUUAAUUGCACCGUUACUCCCAAUCUUUAUCUUAUUUUCAUUUUGAUUCUACUAUUUUUUUCCCCUUAUAUUUAGGUUCUUAAUCUUUAUUAUUUAUUUCAAUUAAAUCCCACCAUUGAAAAUGCCAUUAAUUAUAACAAAAACUGUCACGCCAAUAUUUAUCAUUUUAAUGUCGUACCAGUGUCAAAUUUUACUACACAGCAAUUUUUGCUAAAAUUAACAAUAUUUUUAACCAGAAGGGGCUAAAUAAAGAUAAAUAAUAAAAAUUAGGGACCUAGUUAUUUUUAAAAAAAAUUUGGGGAUCAAAACAAAAAAAAGAUAAAAGUUUGGGAGUAACAGAUCAAUUAAUCCUUUAUAUUAAUCUUUAUUUUUUUUUUUAUUCCUGUGUCUUUCAAAGUGUAAUGAUUCUUUUCCCUGCCGAAUAUGUGCCUAUUUCAAAGUGUUUGAUACGAUUCCCACAUCUUUCUCGAGCAAGCAAUAUUGACUAUGACAUUACCUUAGUUUUUUUUUUUAUUAAUAUAUAAACUUUUCUACUUAAUUUUUGUCCCAAUUUAGAAGCCCUAGAAACUUCCUCUUGUUUUUUAUACUUUUUUUUAACCGCAGUAAACUAUGUUUUUUUGAAUCAUUUUAUCUUGCCUUUUGUAGCAUCCAACUAAGUCAAAACUUAUGGCUUCGUGCAUAACACCUUUUCACGUGAUGGGUGCGUCUGGUUCGGAUUAUCUUAACAGGAUUACAGAUAAUUCUGCUAUGAUUACUAUAUUUGAUUCAUACAGUAAGUAAUCUUAUCAGUAAUAUAUAUAGUAUUACAAAUGGUGCAAGAUUAUACCGAAAAUAUUACCGAGCGGGGUGAGUAUCAUGUAUUACUGUUGGGGGUUAUCUUGCAUUUAUAUAAAAUUACAAGUUUAUCUCCGAACCUCCAAAUUCUCUCAAUACAACAUUUUUAAAAUUUUAAUUUUAAGUUUUUAAAUUUCAAGUUUCAAGUUUCAAAUUUUAAAUUUUAAAUUUUAAAAAUUAGAAAUUAAAAAUUAAAAAUUUUUAAAUUUCAAAAUUUAAGCUUCAAAUUUUAAAUUUUAAAUUUAAAUUUAAAUUUAAAUUAAAAUAUUAAAUUGUAUGUUUUUAUUCAGAUUGAAAAUUUCAAAUUUAAAAUUAAAAAAUAAAAUUUAUAAUGCAAAAAUUAAUAUUUAAAAUAAAAUUAGUAAAAAUUUUGAAUUUGAAAUUUUUAAAUUUUAAAUUACAAAUGUUAUUUAAAUUCUGAAUUUUAAAUUUAGAUUUUAUUUUUUAUUUUAUAUAUAUUUAUAUUUAUAUUUUAGAUUUUAAAUUAGAAAUUUCAUAUUUAUAUUUUAAAUUAAAAUAUUAAAUUAUAGUUGUUGUAUAGAUGUGUGGAAAGUUUAAAUUAAAAAAUUAAAUUAUUUAAAAUAAAAUUUGGUAAAAAAAUAUUGUUUGUAAACAGUAAAAAAAAGUUUACGAAAUAUAACUAAGGGCAAUUUUGGAAUAGACUAUAUUUUAUUGUCUAAAUUACUAAAUUUUAUAGCCAGAACCAAACAUAGUAAUGCUAUAAACACUACAAUCUAGUAUUACACUACUGUAUUAAACCAAACGCACUAAUGCACCAUCAGUAGUAAUCUUAUUUAGAAAUUCAAGAUACCUGGAUAUAUCGAAAUACUUUGUAAUAUAACAUAAACUCGAACUCGAACCAAACGCGCCAUAAGGGUAAUUUUAGAAUUGAUUACACUUUGUUGUCUGAAUUACUGAAUUUUAUAAAUUGAACCGAAUAUAGUAAUAUUAUAUACACUGUAAUCCAAUAUUACAUUACUAUAUUAAACCAAACGCGCUAAUGCAAUGUCAAUAGUAAUUUCAUUCAAAAAUCUAAAUAUCUGGAUAUGUCGAAAUAAUCUGUAAUAUUACAUAACACGAACCAAACGCGCCCUAUGAACUUUCCUUUUGGUUUAUCAUAAUUUUAUUUUAUUGCCAUGUGAUUUAAAAAAAUUAUAUUUUAAUUAUUUUAUUUUAUUUUUAUUUUAUUUUGAGACAAAAUAGCAAAGUAAUAUUCUUUGCAAACUGCAUGAUGAUAAAUACAAAUUAUACAAUGAAAAAAUGCUAUAGCGUAUCAUCUGUCGUAACGAAAAAGUAUCACUUUAUUUUUUGUUCAACAGUAGCUUCGAAUGAUGAAUAAAAAAAUAAAAUUAUAUAAUAAUUGAUGUAAUUUUUUGACCCCUACAAUGGCAAAGUGAGAACACUUUAAAUUAUAGAGAAGCAAAGUAAAUACAUACUUGGAGCAAUAAUUUCUUGUUAGUUUAAAGAUUGGUUAAUUUAUUUCAUUUUGAGACAAUUGUUGAUUUUUAAUUACAAAAUUUGAAUGCGUUGUUUAUCUUUACGAAUUUAGUUAGCAUAUUUUAUAUAAUUGAUGCAACUAUAAAUUCACUAAAAUAACUAAUUAACUUAAAUUUUAUAUCAGAAGAACAAUCAAAUCAUUUAAAUCAAACGGAAUGACAAGCUGGGUAGUAAAAUUAAAAUUUUGUAAGAUUUAGCAGAAGAAUCAAAAUGGUUUAUAGUUCAGAUAUGUUUCAUAUGUUUUUACCAAUAUAAAAAUAUAAAACACCAUUUUCUAUAGCUUUAAUUGAAGAUAAGGGGAUCUAUUAAACUAUUUGAUAAAAUUUAAAUAGUCUAAUUACUAAAAUUGAAAGUUUAGACCUCUCUUUACAAAAAAGCUAAAGUUUAUAUUCUAUCAAUCAGGCUAAAAUUAUUUUUAAUUUCUAUAAUCAACAAAUUAUUGUUAAUAAAUAUUAAUCAACAACAAUAAAAUAAUUACAAAAGAACAAAAAAUUACUAGCAUUAUUCGCUUAUUCUCUGAUAUAGAUAGAGAUCAAGCCGCAACUGGAACAAUACGUACGGUCUAUGGAAUUGGAUCUGAAAAACGUGCUAUACCUUAAUAAAGAAAAAAAAGUAAAGAAUAUAUAUAUAUAUAUAGUUUUAUUUUAUCUUUAUCCUAAUCUAGGAAUAUAUUAUUAUAGGACGUCCUCUUUAUUCCCUCCUCUGCUUUAUUCAUAGUUAUGGUAUAUGGUAUCCACGUCAUUUCAUGCAUAAGAUCAUGUCUGAUAUAUCUAUAGAGUUCAGCUACUAUACUAUCAAUAGCACAAAAUAUUUUAUGCUACUAAAUUUUUCGCUGUUAGAUUUACCCCUUAAACCAUUUUCACCCAUUAGAUUAUAUACUAUUCAAUCAACCACCCACUUAAUCGUAAAAUACCACUAUCAUCCUAACUGCACAUUUAUUUAUCCAAGGGUCGAAAAGUUAAUAGUAUCAAUGACUUAGUGCUAUUAAUAGCAUAGUAUUCUAGUUCUUUGUAUAUGCACACAUAUAUAUAGAGUAGGUCUUUUGUGCUAUUAGAAGUACGGAGACAUCUGUGUUCCUAUGUUAUUUUCGAUGAUGGAGCUUUCGAAUCGACAGUCGGCUGCAUCAGGCUUGAUCUAGCGUAUUUAAAGUAUCCAAAAAAAUAAAUUUUAUAACUUUUCAAUAUCAUUUACCUAGCGAUUGAAAUGGUUCAAAAUUAAUAACUUUUAAUGGUUGAUGUAUAUGGUUUGCAAGCUUAACGAUGUAGAAAUAUUCAAAUCGGAUAAAAUUUUGAUAGAAAAUUUUUUAUACUAUUUACUGCAAGAUCAAUAUCUCUGAUCGAAAAAUUUUAGUACUAUAUCAUUACUUUUCGUGAGAUUUACCGAAUUGAAAAAAGAGUUAGAAAAAUGCUUUGAUUCUCUUAUUUAUCUAACCAAGAGAUUCAUGAAUUACAAUCCUGAUACAUAUCAAUACAAAUGGUUCAGUGGGAAGUAAGAAUUUUCAUAAACAUUUUAGAAGAUUUCGUUUCUGAAUAGAAGUAGUGUUCAAUCGAUUUCGUAUUAAUCAAUAUUUGAUUGAUAGGGACGACUCUAUCAAGAAAUUAGAUUUGUUUAAGUCACUUCGUUUCAUUUUAUCCCAAGUCACUUUCAUUUUCUUUGUGAGUAUCGCAAAUAUCUCCAUUCACUUAUCCAAAAUUCGCAUCUAUAAAUUGAGGAUUCAAAUGAUUAACUCUGCAAUCAGUUGCUAUAAUCAAUAAGGGUUCAUAUUGUUUAUUUGAAUAGACGAAGACCCUUCUUUUUUGAACUUUGGCUUUGUUAUAAAUAAAUAUUUAAAUUUAAUUUUUUUUAAAAAAUAAAAUAUAUUUUUGAUCUUCAACUACAAGGCACGUGGCACUUUGGUUUUCAAAAUUUAAUUUAUUUUAAUUUUUAGUCUGAAAUAUUUUAAAUUUUUAUAAACGAGGUCCUACAACUUAAUUUAGUAAGCUGAAGUUUACUCAUUUUUUCUUUAUUAAUUUGGAAUUGCAUGCGCAUGAGUGGCAUUCUGUAAAUAAUCCAAACACCAGGGCCAAAAAAAAGCAGCCGACAUCCAGGAAAAGUCACGUGUCCACUUGUGUAGUAGACUCAAUCCAUGGGGGAGGAACAUAAAAUAAAUUAAAAAAAAAACUUCAAAUAUUAUUUAUGUGAUUUUACGCUUUUUCAUUUUCAUACCAUAUGAUUUAAAAUGCAUGACUCUAGUAUCCCGUAGUGUCUUUUUUUUUUUUCGUUGUUCUCUCGGUUAAUUUUUUCGUUAAAUCAGUGAUAACUAUAUGGUACUAAAGUAGAUAUUCAAUAAAUCAUAAGUGGGGUAUCUAAAGUUUUUUUGUAUAUAAUUUAACGAAAAGUUAAAAGAUGUGCUGACGAAAAUAAAAAAAAAAAAAUCGGCCACAGGGCACUAAAGUGAUACACUUUAAACUACAGAAUAGUAAAAUAAGAAAAUGCGAAAUCUCAUAGGUGAUAUUUACAAAGUUUACUCAUAAAUAAAUAAUAAAAUUAAUGCGCCAAAAAAGGAUAAAAUUUAUGUGACAUGGCGUGGGUGUGCGGGAACUAUUUAUUAUUUCAGGGAUCAAAUCGAAAAUGACACUCUGAAUUAUAUAACUGCAAUGAAAUAUACGAUAAAUCAGCAUUUAUCAAAUUUUUUAAAAAAGUUAGAAAAUAUAGUUUGAACCUCUUAUUUCUCAAAUCCAAAGAUUUAUAGAUGGUCUAAUGUGAGCAACAAUUUCCAAAAAAAUUUGAAAGAUUUCAUUUUUUGAACAUAAAAAUUACUUGAAGUAGUGUUCGAUUGAUUGCGUAUUAAUUAAUAUUUGAUUGAUUGGUUCGAGGCCAUCGACGAAUCGUUUUGUUUUUUUCUUAUUUUGUCCUUAGUCACUUUUUCUUUUCUUUGUGAGUAUCGAAACUAUUCCCAUUUUUAGGUUCUGAGUCAUAGGAUUCGUAUCUAUGACUCGAACGACAAACUCCGCAAUCAGUUGCUAGAAUCAAUAAGUGUUCAAAUCGUUUACUCGAAUAAAGUGAAAUAAUUUUCUCCUAAACUUUGGCUCUCUCAUAAAUAAAAUUUUAAUUUUAACUUUUUUAAAUAAAAUAUACUUUUGACCUUCAACUACGAAACCUAUGAUUUUUUGGUUCUUAAACUUAAAUUUAUUUUAAUUUUUAGCUUAAAUUUUUUAAAUUAUUAUAAUCAAGUCCCACAAACUAAUUUAGUUAGCUAAAUAUUGAUAAAUUAUUAAUGUAAAACUGAUAUGAAAAUACUGCAAUUUUGAUUCGACAAUAAUUAAAAUGUUAUAUCACUUCUAUAUCUGUAAUUUGUCAACAUUUAGUUAACUAAAUUAGAUUGUAGGAUUUGAUUGUAAUAAUCAAUAUGUUCAAUUCAGAAAUUAUUAUAAAUUAGAAUUUGAGAACCAAAGUAUUAUGCGCCUUUUAGUUUAAAGGUGCAAUUUAACCUUUUUGUAAUUUCUCUUUUCAAGUGAACUUAUUAAUUGUAUAACCAAACGUCAUGCACGUAAUCCUAAAACACUUUAAAGUAUAAUUUUUUUCCCUCUAAUUUUGAUAACUAUGCAUAAUGAUGGAAGAAUAGAUCAAAUCAAACUUUAAUUUUAAUUAUUUUUUAAAACGUUAGAUACAAAAAGAAAAAAAAAUUAUGUUUUGCCCUUAUAAAUUUAUCUCUGCAAAAAGCUAUAUAUAUAUUUUUUCUCUCUCUCUCCUUGCCUUCGCCAUGACUUGUGUGGCAUACGUACUUCAUUUUCGCCGCGAUCAAGGGCUUCGCUAUCGACGUCGCUGCCGUUGUAGGUCUCGUCAUCGCCAUGGAUAAAGAGGAGAUGAUGAGAAAGAUAAUGAGACUGGAUAAAGAGGAGAUGGUGAGAAAGAUAAUGAGACUCAACAUUAAAAUACAAAUUUUAUAUAUAUAUAUAUAUAUAUAUAUAUAUAUAUAUAUAUGAGGUAAAAAGGUUAUUUUAUUUCUUAACUAACUGUGGUCAACUUUUUUAACUCAUGAUUAUUUAAAUUUUGGUAACAGAAGAAUAUAUUCACAAACGAAAGGACUUUUGGAUGGAUAAAUCGGAUAACUUAAGUUUCUUACGUAUAAAUUUGUUAUUUGAUAUUUUUGCAGGAAACCAAUGCAAUUAUCCCUUUGUUUGUAUCGUCAUUGACCAUGCAAAAAGUACAUAUAGGCACACAAAUUAAGUGUCCUUGUGCUUAGCAUAUUAUUGGAUUCAUGCACCACAUUAUUCAAACCAUUAAUUGAAUAAAAAUUUUUCAACGAAAAAAUUAGGGGACCAGUUGGCAAAAUAGAAUUUGUUUUCUUUUCUUUUUUCUAAAGCAUUAUUGGGUGGCGCCAAAAAAAGUCGGUGGGUUGGUUCCUCACAAAAGUAUGAGAUUUUUUUUAAGAAAAAAAAAAUCUAGUUUUUUGUUUGUUUGUUUUAAAAAAUUAGUUAUUUUGACUUUUUUUUUGAGGUUUUAUAAAAAAAUUAGUGUUUUUAUUUUUUAUAAUUUUUUUGAAAAAUAAAAACAUUAGUUUUUCAUAAAAUAUGGAAAAAUUGAAAAAAAAAACUAGUCUUUUUUAAAAACCAAACAGAUAGAAAACUUAAAAAGAAAAUUUUUUUUCCAUAAACUUUGAAAUCAUGAUUUUUUAAUUUUAAAAUUUGAAUGCGUUAUUUACUUUUACGGAUUUAAUUUGGUUAGUAUAUUUCACACACUACUCGCAACUAUAAUUUAUUAAAAUAAGUAAUUAGUUUUGAUUUUAAAAUCAAAGGCUUAUUCAAAUCAGAUAAACUGAAAGCUUAUAUAGUAAAAUUAAAUUUUUAAAAGAUUGAGUAGCUUAUUCAAAAUGGUACAUAAUUCAGAUAAGUUUUGUACGUUUUUACCUCUAUUUAAUUAAUAGAUUGAAUAUAACUCAUAAAUGUAUGCACUUAAAAAAAUGGAUGAUUGGAUCAACAAAGAACCUUUUUUCUUAAUUUUUUUUAAUAUUAUAAAUAUAUUUUUAACAAGUCCAUUGACAAUUAAAAACUUUUUUAAAAUGAACAUAUUUGCGAAGCUCUGAUACCAUGUAUGUGUGAACUAUCAUCGAGCAAAAGCGUGUGUAUAGUGUGUGUAAAUUAUAAAAUUAUGUUAAUAUAUAUUUUUUCACUUUUAAGCUACGAAAAUAAUCAUAAACAACAAUGAAAGAUCCAUGUUAUUAUUAUUAUUAUUAUUAUUCACUUAAGUAAUGAAAAGUACUAAUUAAAAAUAAUACCUUUCAAAAAAGAAAAUAAUAAUAAAUAUAAGUGUGAAACUGAGAAACUUCCUACGUACAUAUCUCCCUUAAUUUCUCCGCUACAUUUGAAUAGAAAAUAAAAUAAAAUAAUAAUAAUAAAAACACAAGCAAAUUGGAUUUGGCAUAUAUAUAUAUAUAUAUAUAUAUAUAUAUAUAUAGAGUGAGGCUACUAUGCUAUCGGAAGCACGGAGCCUUCCGUGCUUCCAGCUCGUUUUCGAUGUUGCGGCUUUCGAAUCGUUGAUCGGCUCCGUUAAACUUGAUCUAGAGUAUUUGAAGUACCUAGAAAAUAAAUUUUAUGAUUUUAUGAUAUCAUUUGCCUAGUGAACGAAGGGGCUCANAAUAAAAUAAAAUAAUAAUAAUAAAAACACAAGCAAAUAUAUAUAUAUAUAUAUAUAUAUAUAUAUAUAUAUAUAUAUAUAUAUAUAUAUAUAUAUAUAGCACAUUCAAUAUUAUUAUACGAUAAGGUUUGAUUAUUGACUCAAAUAUACAGAAAUUGUUUGGUUUAGUUAUUCAAUCUCAUUUCUUUCUAUUUUCAUGCUUUAUUUGAAUUUAAAUGGCUGAAAAAUCAAUUUUGAUCAAAUAAUAUACGUACAAAUUAUUUCAUGCAACAGGAGCAUUCGUAAGUCGUGCACCGUUCCUUUAACUGUACUCUAUAAUCUAAAAUAUCGAUUUUAUAAGAAAAUGUCUAAUAAUAGUAACGUCACAGAGAUUAUUAGGUGAAUUAUAACACGUUACACGUGGACAUAGAUAAUAAAAUAACAUACAUAUAAAAAUGGAAUAUUAGAAUAUAUUAUAUAAAUCGACAUGAUUUUACUAUAUAUGUAUAUAUAAAAACAAUCUUAUUAAGAACUUUUUUCGACAACGUAUGAAGAAAUUGUCUCUGAGCGUCCUUGCUGUAUAACAAAUACCGCCGUUUCAGAAAGUACCGUCAUAUGCAUAUUAUUAUUAAUUAUUUAGACGAUUUAAAGCAUUAGAAUAUAUCUCACCCAUGUAUAGCGUAAUCGUUGGUAUAUACGCGACGACUUUUUGUUUGCCAAAGCUCCCUAGUAUGAUGGUACUAGACUAUUUUGGAACAUUUUUAAGCAUCGUAAUUAUCGAACAUAAAAUAUUUUUCCUGUAAAAUUAUUAAGAAACAACCCAUAAAUAUUGUUAACAUAAUCUAUCUUAUACUUUUAUCUAACUAUCUAAUUUUCUAAUAAAUGUGACGUAAUUUAGUGAAUGAUAGAGAUUGAACUAUGAGGUUAAAUAGAUAAAAUAUGAAAAGAACGGUGUGCGAAUAUAAUGAUUAAUGCACUAUGUCCAUGCAAUUAAUAAUGUUAAUUUCGAUAAAAUUAUGGCUAGGACGAAACCAUGGAGUUGGUUAUGUCACAUUGGGUUAUGAAACCAUUUUAGGCAUAAAUUGUAAUACUUUGGUACAAUUAUUUGCAUGAGAUAUUAUUAAUAUUUAUUGAAUUAAAGCUUACUAAUAUUUAAUUGUAGCAUCACAUUUUAUUUAUAUGCUUUAUUUACAUUUGGGACAUGCACACUUAAUUUACAUUUAGUAAUAAAUAAUUUGCAUCAAAAUCCACGAGGCGAUUAUUUAUAAGUUAUUAAGCUAAAAAAUAAUUUUAAGAGAAAAAAUUAUUAUUAUCAGUAUUAAAGCAGUACGGCAUUGAAUGGGAUUGAGAGAUGUGUGAUUUUGAAUCAAAUCUACUUUAUUAGAUUAUUAGUUAGAACAAAUCAAAAUUAAUUAAUAUUUUAAUAUUUUCAAAAGAGAAACGUGGACAACGCAGCUUUACAUAUUUGGCAUGUGACACACUUGUAACUAAAAAUAUUGUUAUUAAUUAUAUUCAAAAACAUGAAACCACAUUUGUACAGUAAUAAGAUGGAUAGUGUCAUUAAUUAAUCUAACCAUUAAAAAAGGGUAAAUUGCAUGCACCUUAUUUGCUAAGUUUUACCCUUUUUUUGCUGAUUAUGCUCUACAUUUUAUUUUAGUUAAGUUUCAACCAUCUAAAUUUUUAUUAAUUUUAAUGAACUAGGUCACGUUGACUCUAAUAAAGUCAUGCUUACUCAUGUAGAUCACGGUCGUGGUUCAGUAACCUUUGGUUAAUCUCGCCGAUAUUUUUUUAAAAUUUUUAGAAGAAUUUGGUGGCUCGUAUGCUCGAAGUUUAGAACAUUAAGUGCUCGAAAAGCGACGGCAGGAUUGUGGUAAAAUUGGGCUAAAUGUGAUGGGCACGAGGUUAGGGGCCGAAGUGAGAGAAACUAAGUAAAGAUUAGAUACUAAUGGUGUAAUUAAUUUUAAAAAUUAAGAAUCUAAGUAUGAAGGGAUUUUGACUAUUUAUUUUGCAUAACAUUUAUAAAUUUAGUUAAAUUUAAUUGUAUAUUUUAAGUUAAAAUAAAUUUUAAAUCUGUGUUUUAAAUUUAAGUGGUUAUCGUUGGCCUGAGUAUAUUUCUUUGUAUUGAUUUAUUUUCUAAAGUUAAUUUUUUUCUAAGUAUGUUUUCAAUUUAGUUAAUUAUACCAUAAAUAUUUUUGAUAUUUGUUCCAUAACAUAUGAUUUUUUAAAUUAUAAUCAAAAUUUAAAAAUUUGAAUCAAUUUUUAAAUUCAUCUUAAAAUUUGAAUUUAGAUUUAAAUUUAUGAAUCAAACUCAAAAUUUAAAUUUAAAAAUUGAAGUUACUAUUUGAAUUUAAAUAAUUAUUGAUUUGAUAUGUCACGCCCCGGAUUACCAUGUUUCUCCGGGCACGCCAACAGACUCGCCGUAUACAUAGAAAUUUUUUGGGCAUACAAAGCGACAGCUGUAUCUGUAAUCACAUCAUAGCCACAACCAGAAGUAUAGAGCUGCUAAACGGAAAAAUAUAUAAAUAAUAUAAAAGGGUUCCAGUACAUACAAAAGUCUACAACCCAACUCACUCCAGUGAGUACAACGACACUAUAACAAUAUGUACAUAAAAAGCCUAAAACCAAAAAACUAUCUCUGGAUAGUACUCCUUUAGCACGGCGACAAGACUGGUAAGGAUCUAACUCGCGACUCCCUUCCCACGGUACAAGUCAGCAACAGCAGCAGCCGCAGGCGAAGGCUCUGUAAAAAGAUGUCAACAACUGAGUGUGAGAACUACUAUAAAACAAGUAGUCCUCAGUGGAUACCAUCACCAACCUCAACGGCUCACCCACUAAGUCUACAGAAAUAUGCAUAAAGGAUAGUAAGGAAAGUUGAAAAGAAAUCUAUAGUUACAUGCCACUCUACUAUCACUAAAUAGUGUUGUAUGUAAAUAUAAUAUGCAUCUCACUGACCCAAUCUCACUAGGGACUGUGAUACACCGGUCCCGUCUGUCUAACUACACCAUACACCACCCCGUGGGCAGCCGGCGGAGAGCAAUAUCCAAACCGAACUACUACGAUAUCAACCCAAAGCAAGAUAGUCAGACUUCGGAACGGCACUCGUGGGCGCGACUCAACCGAGUAUGCAAGCGUGUCUCUGCCGAGCUCAAUCAGGCUCUCACAGGCUAUAGUCAAAGCAAUAGGGUCAACUGGUCUAACAACCAAAAUUCACAUGCCCUUGGCACAAUCUGAUGCAAGACACAGAAAUCUGGGUCCACCGUCAACUGCGACGGCAUCUGACAAUACAAAACAGUCUAUACUCUACUGUAAAACGAGCUCGGUAUCUCAGCACGAGAGUAAAUUCAUUCUACACUAAUCUAGGUAUCCAUCGCAUCCUAACAGCGACGAUACAAAAGAACCACAGCUUCUAAAACUAAAUCUGGUAACAUUUCAUAAAUGAUAGUGUAGGGUUCAAUAGUCUUCUACUAAGUCAAUUCCAAAUCCAACAUGUAAAACGAAUCUAGAAUUUAAAACUCCAACUCAGAUUUCACAAAAAACUAUGCAAAUCGGUGAAUUGAGCGACUAAUAUGAUACCACACAUGAAAUACAUGUGCUGACAAAAACUCGGCUUAGGAGGAAAUCCGACGAUUUCGGUAAACUUCAACCCACCUGGAAAUACUCGUCCAACCACGGCGAGAAGUCGAAAGAAGGGAAAUCCACGCGCUCGCCCGGCCUCCAAUGGUGCAACCGCGACGCCCCACACUCUCGGACGGCCCUUCGGAGCAACGUCGAAAAUCACCCGAGCUCAAGCCGCAACCUCCACCACGAACGACGUCCAAAACUAGAGAGAGAGAGGCAACAACAACCAAAAAACCCUCUCUGAGCUCUCUACAGUAUAUAAAAGUAGAGGAUAAGGUUGAAGUUAUCGACACAUCAAAGGACCAAACUAUCCCUUUCCUACUCAAAAAUCUAGCUGGAGUACCGGUACUCCACUUGAAUACCGGUACUCGGGCCUUCAGCCGGCAGCCUCGCGCACUGGGUACCGGUACUCACUCGAUGCAAUAUCGGUACUCGGGCUCGGUACCGGUACUCGACAAGUCGGUACCGUACUCAGCAUCAAAUACACACCAACUCGAGAGCAUCCAAUUCUGUAAUCCACUGUGGUACUGGUACUUCUCUCCGGUACCGGUGCUCAACACUGAAAUCCUGCACUUUACAGAUUUCAGUGACAGAACUUCACUUUCGUGUCGCGUUGAGUCCGUUUUGCAUCUAUUUCGCGCCAAAACGAUUCCGACUUGUUCCGACACUCUCAAAAUGUAUUGACAAGUCUUAAAUACUGACAUCACCUAGGCCUCUAAACACCAGAGACACUACAUGAUAGGUAUAUUUUAAGCUAUUAUAUUUUUCAAAUCAGGUUUGUUUUUAGUUAGUUAUUCUAUUUAUUAUUCCAUCUACCAAUUUAAAAUUUUCUAUCUAUUUUUUGAAUAUAGUAUAUGUAUUUUGAGCCUUUUUUAAACUAAAUUAAGCAAUUUAAUUUUAAAUCCUUUCAUUUUGUACGCAAGUAGAUGUGUUUUGGGAGGGUGUUAAUAUAUUCUUCAUCUUGUAGAUAUCGAUCUUUCGGAUAACAAUUUUUUAUUUGGAUACUUUAGAGAUACAAUUUUUUCUCCUAUUAAUUUAGAUCAUAGACUCUUUGAUAAUUAUAGUCUUUUGUUACGUUUGAAAAUUGAAUGAUUAGAUUUAAAGAUUUGAUGGGUGAUGAGUUGUACUAAUGAGAAGAGAGUGAAUUUCAUUUGUAUUGUGAUUCCAUUAUUUCUUUACUAUUAAUAUAAUUAAUUUAUAGAAAUAAUAAUAUCUGAUAAAAUAAUUUAAACUUAAACUUGUCACACUGUCUCCAGCUUAAUUAAUUAAGAAGAGUCUUUUAUGUAACAGUUAUGUCCCAUAAUAUAUAGUGGGUGUUUGGGCUCAGUUUUUAAAAAAUAAUUUUGAAUACAAAAGUAAUUUUUGGUUUAAUAGAGUGUUUGACAAUCUCAUUUUUAAAAUCUGAUUCUAAUUUUCACAAUCAGUUUUCUGCUUUUCAAGGCCCAAAAUAAAAAAAAACAACUAGAAUCUGUUUCUUUAAACCUGAUUCUGAUUUUGGACUUAAAUUUUAAGCUUUAAACUUCAAUUUAGAUUUUAAAUUUCAAAUUGUAAAUUUAAACUGAGAUUUUAAAAUUUAAAUUUUGAAUUUUGAAUUUAAAUUUUUAAAUUUUAAAUUUUAAAUUUAUAUUUAAAUUAAAUUAUCAAAUUAUAAAACUUAAAAUUUAAAAUUUAAAUUAUUUUAAAAUAAAUUUUAGUAAAAAAAUUGAUUAUUUGCAAAGAGUAAAAAAAAUUUGCCGAACAGCUUUAUAAAAUCAUUUCAGAAAAAUCGCUUGUUAUCUAAACUUACUCAAACGUUCUAUAAUUUUUAAUCAAAAUUAAUUCUUCAAAACAAAAUUAAUUAUACAAAAAUUAUCUCUUCAGAAUCUAGAUCAAACACGCCCAUACUCCAAACUAAUUUUAUGUGCCACUAUAAGAUAGUAAAGAAUUUGAUUAAGGAUAAUUAUAUAAAUUUUAUUAAUUAAUAAGUUAUCAAGUAAUCGCAAUAAUUAAUCAACGGUAGAGAUCAAAAGGACAAUUGUACGUACGAUUUGCGGGAAAUUGAUUUUAAGCUUCUUACGUACAAUUUCCAAUAAUAAAUAUUAUUAAUUACAAUUGAUAAUUAUUCGCUGUAAUAUUUUUUUUUUUUUCAACAAAUAAGACUCAUUGCUAUAAAUCUCGCAGUAAUAAAUGGCUAAAUAAUAUGAUUUGCAUUAUCACAAUAGUACAAACUGUUAUGAUAAAAUAUAUAAUAAUAUAUAAUUAUUACACUGAAUGUACUCAUACAUAUGAACGUACAAUGGGUGAUUGAUAAAAUUACUCCAAUAAAAUAAAUUUAUUUAAAAUAACUGUUGCAAAAAAGACCUGCAUGCAAAUAUACUCUCUGCAAUGACUAAUAUAAUUUUUCUUCGCUAUGGCAGAUUAAUAGAAUUAGUUUGAUAAAAUUUUUACUUAAAAUAACUGUUACAGAGAAGACUCGCAUAGAAAUAGACUCUGCAGUGGCUAGAAUAAUUUUUUUCUGUGGCUAAUCAAUAAAAUUAGUUCGAUAAAAAUUCUACUUAAAAUAAUUAUUGUAGAGAAAGCAAGCACACAAAUACGCUCUGCAAUGACUCGAACAAAUUUUUUUUACUGUCGCUGAAUGAUAAAAUUAGUUUGCCAAAAAUUUUAUUUAAAAUAACUGUUGCAGAAAUGACUUGCGCGCAAAUACGCCCUACAACGACUAGAAUAAUUUUUCAUAAUUGUGGCUAAUUGAUAAAUUAGUCGGACAAAAAUUUUAUUAAAAUUUUAUUUAAAAUAAUUGCCACAAAAAAGACCUGUAUAGAAACAGUGACUAUGUCGGCAGAAAAACUUCCGUACAAAAAAAUUCGAAUUCAAAUUCAAAUUCAAAUCCAAACCCAAACGCAAAUUGUUCUCUCACUGUCAUAAGCCACUUUUUUUAUGUCCGGGUCCAUUCCCCCUCUGAAACCUUUGUACCCUCCAUUCUCGAUCGUACGGUUAAUAUUUUCUGAGUAUUCCAAAUCUGGUCAAACCCUUAAAAACAAAUGUCAAAUGUGAACGUGUUCAUAUAUAUUCCACAUGUCCGUAUAUUUAUUUAUUUAUUAUUUAUUUAAACAUGGUAUUAAUUAAAUAUGUUACGUAUUAAUUAGGCACCGCACCGGUGGAGACGCACCAUUUAUUCUUCUUUAUUCUUUGCGGCUCUCCCAUUUGAAUUGACCCACGUUUUUAAUCUCUCUCUCUAUAAAUAUUUUAUAGAAAAAACUACAAAUACUUCAUUGUGGUUUCAUUCUUUCUUAUUCUAGUAUUCUGUGGUUUAAAGUUUAUCAAGUAAGUAUCAUAUAGUUUCGUACUUUCUCACUUUAGUAUUUUGUGGCUUAAAGUGUAUUAAGUUGGUGCCCUGUGGUUUCGCACUUUUUCACUUUAGUAUUCUAUGGUUUAAUAUUUCAUUAAGAGAAAAAUAAAACUACCGAGUACUAACUUGAUACAAAAAUAAAAUCACAGGGUACUAACUUGAUGCAAAAAUAAAAUCACAGAGUACUAACUCGACACACUUUAAACCACAAGGUAUUAAAGUGAGAAAGUGCGAAACCAUAGGGUAUUAACUUGAUACACUUUAAACUACAGAUACUGAAAUGAAAAAGUACGAAACCACAUGAAGGGUUUUUGAAAUUUUUCCUAUAUUAUAAUGUAUAUAGAGUUGGACUGGGCUACUAUUAGUAGCAAAAUCUCAUUGUUGCUAUCAGUUUUUUAGCCUUUAGAUCAACUCUUUUCAUUAUUUCUAACCAUUGGAUUAAAUACUAUAACUCAGUGGGAACCACUCAACCCUAUGGGGACCAUUCAACUCUAACCGACUAAUAUCAUUUUGACCCUACAAUUUUUCAUCAAAGGGUUAAAAAUUUAAUAGCAAAAAGAGCAUUUUACUAUUAAUAGUAUUCCAGCCUAAUUCAUGUGUAUAUAUGUAUAUAUAUUCUCUCUCUAUAUAUUAUAAUGUAUGUAUAUGUAUAUAUAUGGGUUUGCUACGUUAAUGAAGUGCUCUUGAUUAUUGCCAUAGUCUUUAAGAUUCGUGCUGCGGCUUAUAGUUAAGUUAGGUGACAAAACUGGCGAACGAGCCGCACCAUGAGCAGCACCACUCCCCGGAGGAGAUGACGCCGAUGUCGACGGCGGCAGAGGCGUGGGCGGGUUCGUGGCGGCAGCGUGUCGACGCAUCGCGGCAGAUGUCGGAGAUGGUGUCGGCGCUGGCCCACAUCGUGGCGGAGGGACGUUGCGCGGCGGACGCCUCGUCACUAGUGUCAGCGCCAGCAUUGAUAGCAGAUUCGUGACACGAUAGCAGGAUUGAAAAAGUAGAGAUGGGACGGCAUCAGGGCUACGUGCAUGAGUUGGGAAGUUAUUCGCAUGGGGAGGCAUCGUACAAUAUUAUUAGAGGUAAAAUAUAUUAUAUUAUGUAUAUUACUUAGUUGUUUCUGUUAAUAAUAGUAGUUCUACAUUGAAUAUAAACUGUUCUAAGCAUUUUGGAAGAAAAAAUAACGAAAGAGGCAACAAAAAAAUAAAUAAAAAAAUAUAUUAUUUUAGAUAUGAAAUUGAUAAUGGAGAAGUUUAGAAUAAACUCUGAUAUCAUAUUAUAUACACUACAACAUAAUUAGAUUAUAACGACACAUUUUUAAAAUAUUGUUGUGUAAGUGUCUCAUUUUUUUAAAAAAAAUCUACUAAUGUCUAAAUAUAAAGCUCAAUUCAUUAAAAAUUAAAAAUUUUCUUUAUUCAACCAACUCCACCUAACCUACUAGACCCAAUUAUAAAUAAAAAAGAAAAAAAAAAGAAAAAAUAUUGAUCACUAUCCUCCUUCUCCUCUUUUGCCGCCGCAGCCGACAAGAUAGGGCUUCGGCGGCUGGACUUCGGCCGCGAGGAUCUCGCAGGGAUCGUAGAGAGCUACGAUUGCCAUGUGUCCCUCCGGCACAAGUCGCUGGAGAAGUGGAUGCCAAACAUUAAGACAGCCCUAUAUAUAGUGACCCAAAAUAUAACAACACUUUUAAAAAAUGUCGGUAAUUUAGCCAUCAGUAUUUUUUUUUUACUUGUACCGAUAUUUAAAAGUGUCGCUAUACACUAUCUCUUUUAUAGUGACAAAAAAUCGACUUAGUGAGAAGUUGUUCAGAAUUGAUCUUAAUACUUUUUUAUCUCUGCUUUUUUUUUCAUGCAGUUAAGCUGUAGUUGUUUUACGACAAAUUAAGGCCCCGUUUGGUUGGGGGGAUAAGCGGGGAUAACGAAAGUUAUCCCCGCUACUCCGGCAAACGGGAUAAAAUUUGGCCGGAAUAUUUUAUUCUGGUCAAACCUUGCUAUUCCCGGUUAUCCCGGAAUAGUAAGGAAUUUGCUAUUCCACCAUUUUGGUGGAAUAGUGCUAUUCCAAUUCUUAAUUUCAAACUUAAUUAAAAUUAUAAAUUGAAUUAAAACUAAAUUAUAUAAAUAUAAUAUAUUAUAUAUUAUAAUACAUUAUUUUUAUUAUAAAAUUAUUAAUUGUACUAUAUUAAUACCAACAACAGCAAAACAGGAUUAACCUGAACGAGAGGUGCCUGCCGAAUCACACCUCCAUCAACAUAUCGAAGCUGUCCGCCUUGCCCACAUAAGUGUCAGGGAUCACUCUAACCCAGUUUCAAAUGUAAUAAGAUGUCUAUCAUCACGGCCUAGUACUAUCAUAUCACCGUACAUCGACAUCUAACAAAGGUCAAGGAAAUGAUAGUAACUCAUAUGGAAGACAUCUGAAUCACCCACUCGACAACUCCAGUUAUCGCCAUGAGUGACUCCUGAUGAAGAAAAAUGUCAUCAAGAGUGCGGGUCAACACCUAGAAAACAUCUCGGAAGCCAACGCCGACGACGAUGACGAUUAUGACCAACACCUUUCCUAUAACGCUCAAUCUCGGAAAGGACUGCUCAACAUCUCCAUCUUCUCAUGGUCGAUGUCUAUCAAUAUCAAAAACCAAGAAAUGUAUGACAACAACAUGGAGCGACCUCGCUCAUAAAACAUGGGCCUACGAUACAUACAUAACUUGGUAACAACAAAUAGAUAUAGAAUAAAAGAGAAAUCGUCGAGAUAUUAUGACCAACAUCACAACAUACUUAUGUCCACGUCGAAGCGAAGCAUAUGUCCUUUUUAAGAAUACAUAUGCCGCUCAGAUAAUCGCGAGGGCUUUUUUGCUCAUUAGGCUCCGUACUGUUAAAUUAUUUUUCUUAAAUAAUAUUAUAAAUUUAUAUUAAAUAAUAUUUAAAAAAAUAUUAUAAAUUUAUAUUUAUUAUANUAUUAUUUAUAAUAAAUAAUAUGUACUAUAUUAAUACAUAUUAUUUUAUUGAGUUUUUACUCUUUAUUUGUCAUGAACUAAGAAGUUAAUUAAAGAGAUGCAUCUAAAAAAUAUUUAAUUAUAGUACUUUCAAAAAAUUAAAAUUUGCCUAAUUAUAACUAACUAUAUUUUUUUCUGGUUUACAUGUGGUUGUAUACAUGUUUAAAGUAAUAUAUAUAGUACAUGCCCCUGAUUAUGCAUGUGUUUUUUACUUAAUUUGUGUUUUAUGUGUUUUAGAGUUUCUAAAGUGCGAGAAUCACGUUGCCUUGUAUUCACGUAACAAUUUUUCUACACAAAAUGUUAAUUUAUACAAAUGGAUAGUAAUAUUGAUAUAUCAAAAGUUAUUACUAAUAAAACUGAUUUAUCGAACAUAAUCAUUGACGGAUAUAAUAAACUCGACGAAGAUAAAUAUUUUGUGAAUACCAUUGUCUUAUUUGUUUCUCUCUAUCAUACCAACACUAAAAUUCUUAAGUCCGACUCAGAUAAAAAAUAUACUAGCAAAAUAAAUAUAAAGACUCAGUUUAACGAUUCGUUACUUUCUAAAUAAAAAAAAUAUUAAUCAGUAGUGUGAAAGGACAAGAUAAAAUAUAUAAAAAAACUAUGAUUAGUAGGAUGAUGUCAAUAAUCUCUGACCGCUCAAAAGGACAAAAUAAAAGUCUUUAAUUUGCUGGUUUGUGUAACAACUUAUUAUGUUCUUUUAGAGAUAGUCUCAUCUAUUGUUCAUCACAAGAACUAGCACGAAUAUCAUAACAUAAUGGACGGUUGAUAAGAAACUGUGUCCGCGUUAAAUUUUUGUUGUGUUCUCUGUCACAAUGAUAGCAUAGUAAUUGGUGAGAUGAUCUCAACCCUCGUCAAACACAUAUUUAACUGAUAAGGACAUGAUGUGUCCACCUUGUGGCUGCUACAUGUAUUUGCAUGCUUAUCUCUCUCUUUUUGACUCUCUCUCUCUCUCUAUAUAAAGGGUGGAGACAUAUAGUCAUAUACUACUUGUAUUUGUAAACUUAUUAUUAUUAUUAUUAUUUUAUGUUUGUAUUUGAAAACCAAAGCAGAGACUCCUCCUCCCCUGUUUCCAAGCAGAGCAAUGGAAGAGGCUUCCCCUCCCACCUCCUCCUCCUCCUCCGCCUCGCCGCCGCCGCCGCCGCCGCCGCCGCCGCCGCCGCCGCCGCCGCCGCCGCCGCCGCCGCCGCCGCCGCCGCCGCCGCCGCCGCCGCCGCCGCCGCCGCCGCCUCCUCCUCCUCCGCCUCGCCGCCGCCGCCACCGAUGCGGCGCUACCGUGGCGUGCGGCAGCGGCCGUGGGGGAAGUGGGCGGCGGAGAUCCGCGACCCGCACAAGGCGGCCCGCGUGUGGCUCGGCACGUUCGACACCGCUGAGGCCGCCGCGCGGGCCUACGACGCCGCCGCCCUCCGCUUCCGCGGCAGCCGCGCCAAGCUCAACUUCCCCGAGGACGCCCGUAUCCUCCCCCCGACACCGCCGCCGCCACCGCCACCGCAUGAAACUACGGCGACGACGCAAACCGCGGCCGCAGAGUACGCGGAUUACGCGAGGAUUCUGCAGCUGGAACAGAUGAUGAGUUCGAAUUAUGAGACCACAAUGGCUGGUCUUUCGAAUCCUGAUCCUGCACCCUUCUCUGCUUCCGCAUCCUCUGUUUCUGCAUCCUCUGUUUCUGCUUCUCAUUCUUACUAUCCCCAGUUCUAUAACCAGGAUGCGGGGGAUCCGCAGCAGGCGAAUUUUGCGGGCUCCGGCGAGGGGGGUUGGAGUUGGGAUAGUGGUGGAUCCGCAAACUAUGAUUACACUAUGCCUCCUUGGAGUGAUUCAACUCAGUANAAGGGAAAACUUCAAAAACCCCCCCUGUGGUUUCGUGCUUUCUCACUUUAGUACCCUGUGGUUUAAAACGUAUCAAUUUGCCCCCCUGUGGUUUCAUUUUUAUCUUUUCGGAAGCUUUUUCGUUAAUAUUUCGUUAAAUUAUAUACAAAAAACUUCAAAUAACCAUCUAUAUUUAUCGAAUAUUCACUUUAGUAUUCUUUAAUUUUAACUUUGUCACUGAUUUAAGAAAAAAAUAAUAGUAAAAUUGAUAACAAAAAGAGAAAAACGAAACCACAGGGGAGCAAAUUGAUACGUUUUAAACCACAGGGUACUAAAGUGAGAAAGCACGAAACCACAGGGGGGGUUUUUGAAGUUUUCCCUUUUAUUUAAUUUGUGUUUUAUGUGUUUUAGAGUUUCUAAAGUGCGAGAAUCACGUUGCCUUGUAUUCACAUAACAAUUUUUCUACACAAAAUGUUAAUUUAUACAAAUGGAUAGUAAUAUUGAUAUAUCAAAAGUUAUUACUAAUAAAACUGAUUUAUUGAACAUAAUUAUUGACGGAUAUAAUAAACUCGACGAAGAUAAAUAUUUUGUCAAUACCAUUGUUUUAUUUGUUUCUCUAUCAUACCAACACUAAAAUGUCUGAAUAAUUCUUAAGUCCGACUCAGAUAAAAAAUAUACUAGCAAAAUAAAUAUAAAGACUCAGUUUAACGAUUCGUUAUUUUCUAAAUAAAAAUAAUAUUAAUCAGUAGCGUGAAAGGAUGAGAUAAAAUAUAUAAAAAAAUUAUGAUUAGUAGGAUGAUAUCAAUAAUCUAUGAUCGCUCAAAAGGACAAAAUAAAAGUCUUUAAUUUGCUGGUUUGUGUAACAACUUAUUAUGUUCUUUUAGAGAUAGUCUCAUCUAUUGUUCAUCACAAGAACUAGCACGAAUAUCAUAACAUAAUGGACGGUUGAUAAGACCGUCUCAAAUUAGAAACUGUGUCCGCGUUAAAUUUUUGUUGUGUUCUCUGUCACAAUGAUAGCAUAGUAAUUGGUGAGAUGAUCUCAACCCUUGUCAAACGCAUAUUUAACUGAUAAGGACAUGAUGUGUCCACCUUGUGGCUGCUACAUGUAUUUGCAUGCUUAUCUCUCUCUCUUUUUGACUCUCUCUCUCUCUCUCUAUAUAAAGGGUGGAGACAUAUAGUCAUAUACUACUUGUAUUUGUAAACUUAUUAUUAUUAUUAUUAUUUUAUGUUUGUAUUUGAAAACCAAAGCAGAGACUCCUCCUCCCCUGUUUCCAAGCAGAGCAAUGGAAGAGGCUUCCCCUCCCACCUCCUCCUCCUCCGCCUCGCCGCCGCCGCCGCCGCCUCCGAUGCGGCGCUACCGUGGCGUGCGGCAGCGGCCGUGGGGGAAGUGGGCGGCGGAGAUCCGCGACCCGCACAAGGCGGCCCGCGUGUGGCUCGGACGCCGCCGCCCUCCGCUUCCGCGGCAGCCGCGCCAAGCUCAACUUCCCCGAGGACGCCCGUAUCCUCCCCCCGACACCACCGCCGCCACCGCCACCGCAUGAAACUACGGCGGCGACGCAAACCGCGGCCGCAGGGUACGCGGAUUACGCGAGGAUUCUGCAGCUGGAACAGAUGAUGAGUUCGAAUUAUGAGACCACAUUGGCUGGUCUUUCGAAUCCUGAUCCUGCACCCUCCUCUGCUUCCGCAUCCUCUGUUUCUGCUUCUCAUUCUUACUAUCCCCAGUUCUAUAACCAGGAUGCGGGGGAUCCGCAGCAGGCGAAUUUUGCGGGCUCCGGCGAGGGGGGUUGGAGUUGGGAUAGUGGUGGAUCCGCAAACUAUGAUUACACUAUGCCUCCUUGGAGUGAUUCAACUCAGUAUCCACCAUCUUCUUCUUCAUCCUAGUGCUUGUUUUCGUCCCUCCUCCUCUCUGUAGGGUAUAGUGUUGUUCGAUAAAGUGCUUCAUAAAUAAUACUUUUAAACGAAGUGUUGUGUCAAAUCUCUUCGGCAGAUUCUCUCUUUAGUAGAAGUAUAUGCAUCUCAGAGUUCUAUUUCUAAACAGAAGUGCCAAUUUUUUAUUCUUGCAAAAUAUUCGACGGAGGUGAUUAUUGUUGAAAUUAAGUAGCAAAAGAAGAAAAAGUGAGACCAAACGGAUAUUUAGUAAAGCGCGAAUGGUUUUGAGUAGUUUAUGCUUUGUUGUAUCUUUUUUAUUUUUUUUAAUUUUGACUUUUUAUUUUUGGGUAUUCUUGGGUGGUGCUUGUUAUUCUUUUAUAAGCAAAGAAAAGAGGAUGGAGUUUUUCCCUUUUGUUUAAUUGGUUGUCUAAGAAUUAAGAUUAAAGUUUGCAUGCUAAUUUAUCAACGAUAGAUGUGUCACAUUGUUUUAUCUUUUGGAAUAUUAGCUCUUAUAGAUAGUUAAUUUAUCCGCGUAUAUAUCAUGUGAAGGGUUUUAGUUACAUUCGUAAGAUGUGGUAUAUGUUUGUUAACACAUUAAUAAUCCGUAAAGACAACUUUUUGAGGUUCAAAAUGGGCUUUUUGCUGCUGCUUAAGUUGCAAACAAGGAGUAAAUUAUUGGGUUUGAUCAGGUUAGUUUGGGUCCUGUUGAUGGUUGAAAUUGUAAUCUGAACUCUAAAACAAACCAAUUUAAGAUCAGGUUGAGAUGCAUUAAUUUACCAUUUUCAAACCUAAUUUUAGAAACUUGUACUUUGAUGGGAUGAAAUGGAGACUAUGGAAUGCUCUAAGAUCACUACAAUAUUAAACACAUUACCUUUUAUUAUUAGAAACGAGAUGGAGAGAUUUAAUGUUGCAUUAUUAGAUAAUGAUUGAUAAAACUCUAUAAUGCAAAUAUAAUGACCUUUUUAUUAAGAUAUUGUUUGGAAUCAUUGGAUAAACAUAAUAGAAAUACUAAUGUCAAGCUAUUAAAUUAGAUUUAAUGAAAAUUACUAACACCAAAAGAUAUAAAAAUAUGAUGGCCUUCUAUUGCAAUGCUAUUCAUGACUAUAACAUAAACAUGCAAAAUAGAAAGGUUUGGUGUUUUACCGAACAAAAGCAUCUAAUGAAUGGUGAAAAUUCGAAGCAUGCAUUGAGAAAAUUCGCAUUGGUUAGAUUAAUGUAGGUCAAAUCGCCUUAGGAGAGUCCAUAAGAUACUCAUGUGAGAGAGAGUUGUGACUUACCAGAAACAUGAUGACUCGAGACAUAGACUUGAAUUAAAAAGAAAAAAAAAAUAAAUUAUACUAGGUGUCUGGUCGUAUUCGAUAUCAGAAUCUACUGCUCUAAUAUCAUUGUUAGAAAUUUGCGACUUACGUUAACACCAGAUUUUCUCCGAUACCAGUUUGUUAUAAUAAAAACUAAAAAGAUUUAGUUCGUCCAAUGCGAAAAUACUAAAAAAGAAUCGGGAAAGAGAGAAUAAAAAUAAAGGAUAUAAAUAUUUACGUCGUUUGGCCACUAGUCUAAAUCCAUGGAUAAAAACGAUACGGAGAUCUUCAUUAUAAUCAAAAUAGUAUAUAAAAAAUGCCCCUCUUACAAAAUUUUAAUCCCAAAAAUACAUUGAUACUCUCUCAUCUGCCGCACCAAAUUAAUGGAAUAAAAGAUGUAUUUAUAAUAGUGGCUAAAUUCUAAUACAACUAGAAAUAUAAAUCUACUCAGAUUAGGAAUAACCUCAAUAAGAUUAGUCAUAUUCUAAACUUAAUUUAAUGGGAUAACCAAAAUAGAAUAGGGUUAGAAAAUCUUGCAAUUCCAAAAUUUAUGACAUCUAAUAAUUUCCGUCUUAACUUGAAUUUUUUGUCUUUUCCACCAAAACUUAAAAGCUUCUAAAGUGUUACUGUACAUGCGAACCAGUUUAGAGAAUACUUGAACUUGAUCGUCGAAAAAAAAAUUUUUUUUUUUUGGGAGAGAGAUAGGUAGCACGCUACCCGCUUCGUUUAUUUAAUUUAAAAAUAAACUUACCUGGAAAUGUGAAUCAACUAAGAUACGAAAUUGGGUCUCGGGUACCAACCACCAAGUCCUUUGCCACUUGCUCUAGGGACGGUCGGUGAUCGCCGAAAAAAACUUAAUGAGCAAAAUUUGCGGGGUAGCAAAAUUUGCGGGGUUUUCUAAAGUGCCAAUUUUCUCUUCUCUAGUUAUGCCUUUUUGCAACCUCUGUUGCGUUAGAACGACAACUUGCUGUAAAACCGAAACUGUUGGAGCGAUCAAACUUCUUGAUCUCAAACUUCGUCGACGUCUUAAACACUCAAACGAACAAGCGGAUAGCAUGCUAUCUUUCUCUCUCUCAAAAAAAAAAAGCUACAAUUCUAACUAAACAAGUGUAUAUAAACUAUAAUUAUGUGAAACCAAAUGGCCCAUCACGGCAAAAUCAAUUAGGCCCUGUUUGGAUGCAUAGUUAAAAAACUCCAUGGAAUUUUUAUUCUAUGGUUUUGGUCUAAAUAAAAUACGGAAUCCUGUAACUACAAAAAAAUUCCACAGCUUCAUUUUUAAGCUGUUUGGAUACAUAUCAUACAAUUACACAGUAUUUAUAACAAUUAAAUUUCUAAAAUUUUAUAAUUCAAAAUUCAAAACUCAAAAUUCAAAAUUCAAAAUUCAAAAUAUAAAAAUAAAAUUUUAAAAAUUAAAAAUAAAAAUUCAAAAUAUAAAAUUAAAAUUUAAAAUUUAAAAUUUAAAAAGUAAAUUAGAUUUUAUGUUUUAAAUUUGAAAUUUGAAAUUUGGAAUUUGAAAUUUCAAAUUUGAAAUUUGAAACUUUAAAAUUUAAAACUUAAAGUAUACCAUUUAAACUUUAAAUUUUGAAAUUUAAAAAAUCUAUAAUUAAAAUUUUAAAUUUCAAAUUUAAUAAUUUAUAAAUUUACAUAUUUAUAAAUUUAAAAUUUAAAAUUUAAGUUUAAAUUUAAAUUUUGAAGAUUGAAAAUUAAAAAUUAAAAAUAAAAUUAAAAUUUGAAAUUUGAAAUUUGAAAUUUGAACUUUUUUGGAAAUUUGAAAUUUGAAAUUUGAACUUUUUGAAAUUUGAUAAAUUUGAAUUGUUUUGAAAUUUGAAAAUUUGAAAUUUGAAAUUUGAAAUUUGAAAUUUGAAAUUUGAAAUUUGAAAUUGAAAUUGAAAUUUGAAAUGUUGAAUUUGGAUUUGAAUUUUUUUGAACUUUUUGAAAUUUGAAAUUUAAAGUGUGAAAGUUGAAGUGAAAUUUGAAAUUUGAAAUUUGAAGUUUUUGAAAUUUGAAAUUUAAAAUUUAAAAUUUGAAGUUUUUGAAAUUUGAAAUUUGAAAUUUAAAAUUUGAAAUUUAAAAUCAAAAUUAAAUUUGAAUUUUAAAAUUUUAAAAUUUGAAAUCUAAAAUUUUAUGUUGAAAUUUAAAAUUUAAAAAUUGAUACAUCUUUGGGAGCCCAAAAUGGUGGAAUUUUUUUCCUUUGGUUAAAGUGGAUUGUAAGUUUACUCCAUUUUUUGGAGUAUAGUAUAACUAUACUCCAAAAAUUACGUCAUUUUUUUUUCUUCCAAACGCUUUAUAGGAUUAUUUUCCUGCCAGCGUAGCAUAGUUUAACUAUGCUACGUUUUUAGAGGCAUCCAAACGGGGCCUUACUGGGUUUAAAAUAAGGGUUAAUUUUAUAUGGGUCCUGCAAAGGUAUCAACAAUAAAUAUAUUCCUACAAAACUUAAGUUAUAAUAUUUAUUCCUUCAAAAGUUCUCGCCGUGGCACGUGUGGUAUGUCUCAUUUUUACCAUAACUAGGGGUCUCGCCUUCAACGUCGCUGUUGCCGUAGGUCUCGUUGUUGUCAUAGAUAAAAAAGGAGAUGAUGAGGAAAUUGACAGUGGCUUAACAUUGAAAUACUAUUGAUUAUUUAAAUUUUGAUAACAAAAUGAUAUAUUUGCAAGACGAAAGAAUUUUGGAGGAAUAAAUAUGAUAACUUAUAUUUUGUAAAAAUAUAUUUGCUAUGCAAUUAUCCUCUAACACAAAUUAUUAUAGUUACAAUUAUCCCUCAAAACAAAGUAUAGUUACGAACGGAUUUAAUUUACUACGAAUUAAACAAUGAAUAUUUACGGCCAAAAAUAUAUUCCCGUAGCCAAACGCGCACCGGUGGUAAACCCACGUGGAAACCAACUCGAUCAGUGACAAAUUUAGAAGAGAGAGAGGGAGAGGGAGAAAGCUUCCCCAUAGAGAGAGAGUGUGNAUGGCGGAGAGGGAGGAGGAGGAGGCGUCCACGUCGGUGCCGCUGAGCCAGGGCGCGGAUCUCGAGGCGCCGCCCCCGCCGAGCUCCCCCAACUCCUCCACUCGCAAGGUUCGGAUCCCGAUCCCUCCCUCCGAUCUCGCCGCAUUUUUUGUUGCCCUAAUCCCAUGAUCCCAUCCCUUUCGCCCACCCAGAUCCGUUUCCUGUUUGUUUUCUGUUGUUGUUGUUGUUGUUGUUGUUGAUGAUGAUGGUGAUGAUGAUGAUGAUGAUUUCGCAUGGGUAAUUUGGAUGUGAUAGUGUGUGUCAUCGAUCUCUUCCGUUGCGGUGGCGAUCGCCAAUUUUCAUGUGAUGAUCGCAUAUAUUGGACGAUUUGAGCUGUGGAUUCAGAGAUCGAGCGAGCGAGCGAGCGAGCGAUCUAGGGUUUGCGAAUUUGGGUUGCGUUGAUAACUAUACCUGCAAUUUGAUCCAAUUUUCAAUCGUGCGAUUUGAUUCGAUCUGUGUAAUGCAAUCUAGGGUUCACAAUUUUGAUGCGAUGUGACUUGGCGUAGAUCUUGAAGAAAGGAAGUGUUUGAUGCAAUGCACUUAACUACCCUGUGGUGUAGCACAUUUUCACUUUGCCACUCCGUGGUUCAAAAAGUUGCACUUAACUCUAUCCCUGGAUACUAUUUUUGUUUCAACGAAAAAAUCUAUUGUCAAAUGGGGUAGUAAAGUAAAAUGGUAAAUAAUACAACGGGAUAGUGAAGUAUAAUUUUUUGGAAUCACGGGGUAGCAAAGUGAAAAUGCGCUAAUUAUCACAAGGGACAUAUUGAAGUUUACCCCAAAAAAAAAAAAAAAAAAAGUUCUGAAACUUAGUGUAGGAUUGGGAUGUAGGAACGGGCUCAAAAGCAGAAGCUCAAAUUAGUGCUUCUGCUUCACCGGUUCAAGGAUUUUAGUAUAGUGCUUCUUCUAAUAACACUGCUCGAACAUCAAUCCGUUGAAUAGCACUUCACCCUACACCAGGACUAAACAGGCCGAAUAUAACUUAGUAACGACUGCGUCGUUGCUUAAUCAGCAUUAUAAGAGAAUAUUGCACAACUUAGGAGAAGUACAGGGAAUUCGACCAUUUCUAUUAUAGUUACACUGAAAGGGAAAUAUCAUAGGGAGUAAAAACUUAGUGCAAAUGAACCUGAAGGACCAUGCUUGUUAAAUAAGACUGAAAAAUCUGCGGAAAAAAAAACUUCUUGCAACUGUGUUGAUCACUUUAGAAAACUGCUAUAAGCCGAGCUACUUGCUGGAAAAGCAAGAUUGCGAAAGAGUGAACUCUAAAAUCUAGCGCCAAAUGACGGGAGACUGUGAGAUCAUCAGGAGGAAGGAUCCCGCAAGCCUUUGAAGGGUGCUACGGAAUGGGCUCACUGUCACAAAGUCAUGUAGGUUGGAUCCAAAGGUCUUCCAAAGUUAGAAUAUUGGAAAUUGACUAAAACCUUGUCGCUUAUCAUUAAAAUGUUGUGUAUUCGCAUGUAUAGAUAUAAGUUUAAGGCCUAGACAAAAGGUAUUAAAGGUAAACCCACGUCAUUUGCCUGCAACUUCUUGUAAUGAGUCAGCUUAGAUAAAUUGGCCGCAUUUCAUGCGCAUACCUGUCUUUCUUUUGUACCAACAAUUCAUGAAUCUGUAUAUGUAUGUGCGACCAGUUUCCUUAUAAUAGGCUGACUUGUUUUUGUACAGUAUUACUAAACAAAACCUCUUAACCAGGCAUGUUGUGCGGUUCUCCAGAGCUGGUUCUCAAGAAAAUUCAUGACCGGAUGGUACGCCAUCUUAAUGUUGCAAAAACAAAAAUAUAUUUGUGAUUGUUUUGUAUACCUAACUUCUUCUCUGUUCAUUUUGCAGUGUUGUUCUUUUUCCUGUUGCUGUCACAUUUUUCCUGACAUGGUGGUUUGUUCAGUUUGUUGAUGGUUUCUUCAGUCCUCUAUAUGCCAAGCUUGGUGUUGACAUAUUUGGUAAUUCUUGUUGUAAUUUUUUUUUGAUUUUUUCUGGUCAGAUGAAAGUUAUAUACGGAUACAUCCUCUUGUUCUGCUAAAUUGCUUUGCUUCUUGGAGUUGGUAGAACAUGCCUCGACAGGAGGAUAAGUGUUUGUCAUUUUAUAUCCUAUCUCAAUCAGUAGCUUUCUAGCUGAAAUGUUGAAAAGGGCUUCUUGCUGUUGGAUGAGCAUUACUAUGAUGUGCAGAGAAAAUUGAACUCACAAGAAAUUAGUAGUUGCCAUUAUUGAUUAAAACUUAAAGGUUUGGACAGGAAUUUUUGAGAAUCAUCAAAAGAAAAUGGUACUUAAUUUUCUCUAUGUUGAAGUAUAUUACUAAACUUAGUGGGCUUCCCUGGCGCAUAGAGAUGGAUUCUGCUGUGAAAUUGAGAUGAGUUUUCGUACUUAAUUUAAAAGAAGGCAUGCUAGUUUUAUCAUUUCUAGUUAUACAAUGAUCUUGCUUCAAGUUUUGGAAACAUUAUAGAACGGAUUGUGAUCUGACUCUGAUAAAAGGUAAGUCCUUUGGGUUCAUUUUCUGUUCAAAGCAAGAAUUUGGAAAAAAUUCUGCAUGAAACUUAGCGGCAAGAUCCUUGUGCACCACUUCUCCCUUUGUGGUGAAGCCGGCUGUAAUUGCACUAUUUCUGGAUGUCAUGCUAUUUGAAUGUGUAGACAGUUAAAUAUGUCAUAGAUCUUUAGGUAUGGUUGACAUUUUCUGCAGAACUUUCUCAUUUAGUUUCUAUUAUUACAUCCUGUGUUUAACAGGCCUUGGAUUUUUGACAUCUGUGGUAUUCAUAUUUCUUGUUGGGAUAUUUGCUUCUUCAUGGUUGGGCGCCACUGUUUUCUGGGUUGGAGAAUGGUUCAUAAAGAAAAUGCCCUUUAUGAAGCAUAUUUACUCAGCAUCAAAGCAAAUCAGCACGGCUAUUUCACCAGGUAACUCAUUUUGUAUCUAUACGCCCAUAAUAUGUAAAUCUUUGUUGACGAAAAUAAUCAAAAUGAUAUCUUGUUUGAGGUAAACAAGAUAUACAUGCAUGAAUAAGUAAGGCAUUUAUCCUUAUAUAUUUUCUAAUUAGCGACUCUUAUCUUAAUCCUUAGAAUGAUAAUUUAUUUUGGGAAUAAAAUCACUACCAAUAGUUAUACUUUGAUAUAAAACAGGCCUCAGUUUUGAUUCUAGCGGCUCCACUUUUACAUGCUUUUUUUUUUUUUUAUGUGCAGAUCAAAAUACCACAGCAUUUAAGGAGGUAGCUAUCAUACGCCAUCCACGGAUUGGUGAAUAUGCAUUUGGUUUCAUCACAUCAUCUGUGGUCCUUCAGGUACUUCGACUGAAAAUGUUAUUAUCUAUGUUGUUAUGAAUAUACGUUAUCUUUAGAUUGCUAGAGCAGCUAUUUUAUCUAGUCAGACUUGCUGUAAGGUCAAAUAGUCUUUCAAGAUAUAAACUUUACAAGGAUGUUUAAUCUCUUCUUUGAAGCUUUUUUUCCCCUCUUUUUUUGUUAUUUAUUGCAGAGUGAUAAAGGUGAUGAAGAGUUAUGUAGUGUUUACGUCCCAACAAACCAUCUAUAUAUUGGUGACAUAUUUUUGGUCAACUCUGAAGAGGUCAUUAGACCGAAUCUAUCCAUUCGAGAAGGCAUAGGUUGAUCCCCUUGAACCUUCUGAUUCUGCAUUGUCUUGUUCCUUUGUUGGCUUUCUUAUAAGUUAGUUGAAAUCUGUCUAAAUUGAUUACUGAAUUUUAUUCUGUAUUUUUGGAAUGCAAUUUUGUUGCUUUGGAGUUGGUGUUCAAGUUUGCUUCAUAUUGUGCUUUUAGAAUGCUUCUUUUCUUUUGGAAUAUGUUAGUUUACUUGAUCCAUGUCUUAUAAAUUUCAUGGUGGCUUUUUCAAUUACUAUAAUUAACAAUGUUUAAACUAUGUUGGGAUAUAUCAUAAAUUAUUUGUGGAUCCAUUCCUCUUUGAAUUAUUAUUCCUUUGCAUUUCCUCUUUUCUUUUUUUUCUGUUUGUCAAUCAGUUUUUUAGUCCACAAAAUCUUACUUUUUUAUAUGCGGUAUAUUUCAGUUGGCCAUGUUUACUACAGUUUAAUGGAAUUUGAGCAAAUCAUUGAGAAAAUUUUUGAGUUCUAUCGCAUCAUCUAUACUCUGUUUACUUAGUUCGUAGCCCCAUAUGUUGGUGGGACAAAUAUAAUCUUAUGCAGAUUAUCUUAGUUGUUCACUAGAUUAAUAUUUUCUUUAAGCACUUCUUUUUUGUCAGCUUUACUAUAUCUUAUCUGGAAACUUCUAAUGUCAUAAAUGCAACAUUUGUAAACCUAGUCAUUUUAGCUGUUUAACUAUGUCUAAUAAUCUAUUUUUAUUUGAUGAAAUGCUUUUCUUAAUGUUUUGUGCUCUUCAGAGAUUAUUGUGUCUGGGGGGAUGACUAUGCCACAAGCGAUUGCUCCUCUCGAGCGGGCUUCUCAUAAGAAUCAGAGUAUCCGCCUGGACCGAAUCGCAUAAAGCUUUCUCACUCUCUCAAUCUACAAAUGAGGUAUGUCUCACUAGCGCUUCUUAUCCCUUCAAACUUACAUAUAUGUCCCCAUAAAAUCUGAAUUUUCAUACAUAUGACUCUUGCAAUGUAGUUUCGUACGAAAAUAGUGUUAUCUUAAGCUCGGGGUCAUCGAAUCGAUUGGGGGAAGUUGGUUUCAAGGGUUAUUUUUAACGAGUAUAUGAUAAAAUUAGGCUUUUUCAUGGCAUAAAUGAAAAAACAAAAAAAAAAUCUGAUUUUGCUGGGAUGACUUGCAAUGCCAAAGAGAGGUUGGUCUCUCUGAGCUUUUCACUAUAGGACGAUUUGUUUUGUAUUUAUUAUUAUAUCUCCUUUUUUGUGAUGCAGGUUAAGUUGGGUUACAGGACCAAAACAUCGAUGCUCUGAGUUAUUUAAAUCGGUGUGCAACUUCUGUGCUUUAAUAUGUAGAUAUUAAACCUUUCUAGGCUUAAGGGUGAAGGAACAAAUGUGGCUGAGAAAGAUUUUUUAUUUAUUCAAGUUCGUAUAGUGGAAUACAGCAUGGUAAGACAUACAUACAAUUCUAUAGGUUUAUGUGUAUACAUCCACAUCCUAAUGUUUCUACCCAGUAGAGAAUAUUGUGUUCUCGUUGAAUUCAAUAAACAUUUUAUAUGUAUAACUAAAUGAAAAGUGCUAGAGUUUCUCAUCUUUCAUUGUUAACAGGCUUGGUUAAAUUAACUGUAUUCUAUUUGGCUUUUUCCUGAUUAUGUUACAGCUAAAUAAUGGCUCCUUAAUUUGUCGAAUUGCUCCCUCUCUCUCUCUCUCUCUCUCUCUCUCUCAUAUCCAUUUGCUUCGAAUUACGUCAAGUUAUUGUUGGUUUAAUGAUUCAGUGUUGAAGAGAAACUGUACAGAAAUUUUGAACCAAAGAUUUGAGGGUAUUAGUGUGUGUAAUUUUCAUAGAUUUCCCCAGAAACAAAAAAGAAGAAAAAGAAGCAAACAACUGCAAACCUGCAACUGGGCCAGAGGUGGACGUACAAAUGCAAACAGAACCAGUUCCAGGUCACACCUUAUCUUCUAUUGUUUCGCAAAUUGAAACUUCAUUGCUUUUUAGUUCCAACUUCAUUUCAACUAUGCUUUCCAGCAGCUAGUGAGACAAAAGUCGAACCCCAUGUACUGGCGGCAGCGAUGACUAGGUAACAAACCCUUUUGUAUUCAGCGUAUUCACGCAAAUUUGUGAAGUUGGAUGCGGCCGACAUGCUGCGGCUGCAGAAACCUUGUAUUCAGCGUAUUCACGCAAAUUUGUGAAGUUGGAUGCGGCCGCCGCUGCUGCGGCUGCAGAAACCUUAGCAGUUUCGUCGGCGGAUUCACAUUUGUCAAGCAUCUUUGCUGCUCCCACUGCUCCCUGGUGAAUUUGGCAUAGCCAAAUUGCUCUGGAUUCUUAAUUCCUCCACUAGUUCCCAGCAAAUUCAAGGGAGUCCACCCCUAAAUUCCCCAUUAUUAAGAUCUCGCAAUGUAGCAUCAUCCCUACUUACCCUACAUUGCUUUCAGUACAUAUUCAACAACCAAAUACUUUCCACAUUUCACUUGUGGUAAAGCAUUCGGCGUCGAUGCAUACGAAGUUAAACUUCGUGAAUCACACACGGCCGUUCGUGCUUCCCCAUGCGCGGAAACAGGAACUUUCGCCAAUAUCACGAAGAUCAUUUUGUACCAAACAGGCCUCCCACAAAUACCCAUCACCACAUUCCCCUAGAACACAAAAAAGGUAACACACUUAAAGGUGCAACAGUCCCGCAAUUAUCGCAGAAAUCCACAUAAACAGGGAAACAAAAAAGAAAAGCCAAAUUAUGCUGUUGUUCUAAUCCCGCAUCCAAUGUUCUUGGUGAUAACAUAAAGUACAAGGUGGAGAAAGAACAGGAAAGAAGAUAGGGAGAGCCUUCAACAUUGAUCUCACAUGUUUACUUUCAGAGGGAUCUCUAAAUACUCUGCAGUUGGGAGAAGGAAAUCCGAAUGACGGAUCUGUCGAGGGAGGUCGCAUGCUUGCAAACUAGGGUUUCAGUCGCUUGCUCCUCGUUCUCGAACAAAACUAGGGCUUGCUUCUUCCCGUUCACCUCGAAGAGCUUGCUGUUGACUAUGGUGCCGUGCUCACUUAGGUGGGCAAUGACGUCAUCCUCCGUGAUUUCUUGCGGGAGGGCGGAAACAUGGAUCAUCUUCGUCGGGGCGCAGCAAUAUCGGUAGUUCUUUGCCGCGUUAUUGUUGCUAAAUCGGUUAAGGUUAGAAUUGGCAAAUUCACGGGUGUCGGGAGCAGGCGUGAUGUUCGGAUACUUGGAGAAAUUCACCUCUAUUUUCUUCCCAAAUAGCAUUGCUCCCUGCGGCAGGUAAUAAAGUUUGCUAUGAUUAUGAAGUCCAUUAACUAGGAAAUGACAACUUUGAAAGCUUGCUGAAUUUAGUAAAGGAAAAGAAGAGAAAAAGGCUAAAACUCAGAAACCCCUCUGGAAAUAUCAUGAUUUGCGCUUUAAGCAAUGUGUAGAUCACAAUAUCUCUAGGGGUUUUUUCUGUAUUUUUUCUCAAAACAAAAAAGGCAGCAUUCUCAGUAAUACUAGUUUAUUAGCGAUCAAGCUUAUGAUAUAACAGCAGAAAAGUACAAGGGCCAAAGCAAGCGAACCUUCAAGAAGUGUACAGCAAGUUCAGCCUGAAACCCAUCAGCCAUCUGAACAAGCGCAUGAUCCGGUUUAUUGCGAAGGAUCUUAAUUCUUAUAAUGUUGCCAUAUAAAGAAAACAAAUUGAAAAGCUUGUCCUCGUCAAUCUUCUGCACAAGUGUAAUGAAAAUAUCAAUAACUUUUUGAGUGAAGUGAAAUAACAAAAUUAUAGAACGAGGAUGUCAGGACUUACUUCAGUGUUCAAAUUAGUGGCUAAGAUUGUGCACCUGUCAUUGGUACCACUUAUUCCAGGAGGCAAUCCUCCACCAAAAGCAGCUGCAAUUGCUGCGGCAUUGCCCAUCUAGCAAUAAAGAUGAUUAAAUUUCAUGGAAAUGCUUUCAUAAAUUUUCCAAAAAGAUGGUAAUCAGGAAGCGACUAACGCCUAUUUAAUAAUUUGCACAAAUUUAACGUAUCUGAAACCAACAAAACCUUCGAGAGCUGUGCAGUUCAGAGAUACAAACCUGGCCAUACGCAACUGAUGCAAAAUAAAGUGGGGAAAAGGAGUCAGUGUUUCAGUAAUAAGUGACAAGCAAGGCAAUAAAGAUAGAAAGUCAAAGCAAGCACCUCUAGCACUAGGUCCUUGGAGCCCAUAUAAACCUCCAGCAUCACCAUAACCAGGCUAUAUUAAAAACAUAUAAUUGAAUAUCAUUAGCAUCUAAUAGACGAUCUCUCUUUUGCAGCAAAUAGGGCACCAACAGCAGACAAGGACAAAGAAAAGCAGCCUACCUGUGAGGGUCUACCUCGUUGUUCAGUGGGCAACGACGGGUUUGUGAAAUCUCUGAACAGAGAAAAUACACACAAAAAAGAAAAUAAGCAUAAACUAGAACAUAUGACGGGGAGAAACAUGCUAAUCUUGUCACUCAAGUUCCCUCAUAAUAAAUCUGGAGUAUCUUUUUCAUCUCUGUCAUUUCAAAUUUUAGUUUCACAAAAUAGAAAUAACGUGUAUUUAUGCAAAAAAUUAACAGUUACAAUUAAAGAAAAGUAUUGUAAUGAUCCAAAUGCCAUUGAUUUUGCUCCACAAUCCUAUUCACAUUUGGCAAUAACAGAGAAACAAUAAUCACCAUACUAAGUUGCAUGAUAAGUAACAUACCUAGACCGGUCAUUGUUGUAAUUGACUUGCAAUUCGUUGAGACUGGUUUGGAAAAGAAGAUAUUCACUGAGAUAUUCAGAAGAGAAAAAAGGCGAAAAUUUAAGUAAAAGAGAAUUACAAAGAACAUACUUCGAGAACUGUAUAUCUAGCUGACAACAUCCAUCAUAAAUAUUCCGCCCCUAUAGAAAGAAAUAGUCAUGUUAUUAAUAAGGAAAUAUAACACAAGCAUAAAAAUAUGCAGUCGAAUGCAAGUAACAUACUUGCAAAGCACUUCUCGCUUGUAUAGCACUCUGGCGUGAUUGAUACUGGAUAAGGGCUUGAAAACCUAUACAACAUCAAGUAAUAAAACUCCGGUAAGCUAACUAAUAGUCUUCCUUGACAAAUGCUGAACAAAAAGAAGAUUUUGUUAAUGCUUGCAUUAAAUGCAAUGCUCAAAUGAACUAAUUCAAAGUGAACAACCAAGAAAGAGAGAUUUUUUUAAUAAACACACAACCACAAAUCCACUAGACCAGUUGGUAAAUUUUGGCGUAUUAUUAAGACAGAGAGAUAUAUAGAGAGAGAUGACUUGAGGGUGCUGACCAGCUGACUUCUGAAAAGUGACGAUCUUCUCCACAAACCCAUGAGGAGAAAAGACUUGAUGCAGCACUUCCACUGUUAUGGGAUAGAGCAUGUGGUGAAUUGUUACUAAGAGGAUUCGAUUGGGUUGCGAAUCCUUGAGCCCAACAGCAGACCGUCCCAGAGAGAGAAGUGAGAGAAAGAGAGAGAAGAAUAAAUAGAGAGGCAUAUAGUGGGAAAAAGGAGAAGUAAUAAUAGAGAGAAGAUAUGAAUCUAAAACUACUUAAAGAAAAGUUAUGAGUAGAUAGGCAAAGAGUACUAUAAAGAGAGUUGGUAUUAAACUUCAACAAACUAUAGCCCAGACAUAUAAUUUAAAUAUCAGCAGUAUAGACACAUUCAUGGGAAGUUUUUUAUUAACUCAAAUUUGUCGAAACAUAUUUCUUAGAAUGUAGUGACAAAAAACAAUUGAAACUCCAGUUACAGAACACCAUUAUCUCACAGCAACAUAUCGCAAACGUUUUUGUCCUAUUCAGACCAGCAAGUCUUUUUUUUUCUCACUAACACAUAACAUUAUUACUUUAUAUAUAUAUAUAUAUAUAUAUAUAUAUAUAUAUAUAUAUAUAUAUAUAUCUCAUCUUAGCCCUUCCAAAUAAUAAUCUGGACAACAUGUCAAAAAUUACAUUGAGACUGUCCGCAAAACACCAAUUAGUCCUAACCAGCAAUCUCUGGAAGCAGUUUGUCCAAGAACAUAACAGCAGUGAGCAUCCCUACUGUAAGUAAGGCAGAAAGAGAUCAUAGAUUUUGUUCUUUAACUGCACUAACUAUAUGGUCAUAAAUAAUAAAAAAAGAUCAAUAGUGACAAAGAGAGAGAAAAAAAAAAGGGAAUGCUUACGCAAUCAGGUUUGUCAAAUUUGUUCUGUUUUUUACUGGUCUGAUGACAUUUUCUUCCAAUAUAGCACCCUUCUUGUUGCUCUUUUAGGUUUUGUCCUACACAUUCAUUACCAUUUAUCUCUACACUUUAGGUUAUCAUCAUGGUUUCAUGCCACACAAGACUGACAGUGGAUUACAACUAUGGUUUGGAUUAUCUCUACACUUUAGGUCAUCAUCAUUCACGUAUAUCAGUCACCUCCCGAUAAUCUCACAAUUUUGGUUACUUUGUUAUCUUCUUCUAUGUUUCUUUUUUAUUUUAUUACUUCUAUUCUUGAGCUUUAUUAAAAUUUUCCUCUAAAGUUUGGACUGACUAGUUCCUUUGAACCUAUCUACAGCAUACUUUUUACUUCACUUUUGUCAUGCAAAUAUUCAAUACCAUUAUCUAUGUCCAAUAGCCAAAUUUUUUUGUAUAUAUAGCUUCACAAAGGUGACAAAAAAUAAGUUUGUUAAAACCUCAUUUUUUGUAAAGCAUCCAAAAAUGUGUAAUAUAUCAGCUAACAUCACUUCCUGGACUUUCUAAAGCAGUCACCCACCACACAACAUACAUUCUGUUGUGGAAUAAUACAAUGACAGAUCUUCAUGACAACAAAAAGUAAACAAGAAAAUUAAAAACUACCUGAUCAGAUUUCCGUCCUUGCGAGUUUUGGUCAACAGUUGUCAAUUCCUGGUGAGAAGAAAAUUGAAGAUAAACAUUCCUUCCUCUGAAAUGGCAACAGAGAAACUCAUGUGAGUUGCCAGUUAGGAGAAUAAGAAUAAAAUUUAUAACAGUCAGACAUGGAUAGAAGUCAGACACGGAUAUGGGAGAGUAAUUAUAUAAAAAAGGAAAAUGAGAGAAUGUGAUGCCAAGUAUAUAAUCUUGUAAGACAAGAUGAAGUUCACAAGUGUACAAGAUGAAAUUCACAAAGGGCUAAAGGAAAAGGCAAAACCUCAUAGGAAAACUUUACUGUUACUCUUAGCUACAAGUACUCAUAAUAAGCUGGAAAGAAAAGUCUAAAACUUUUAAGUGAUACAAAAAAUCAUUAAGUGAAUCACUCUUUUACCUGACACUAGGUUGAACUGUAGUGUAGUAUUGCAAGACGUUUACAGCAGAAGCCACAUCAUGCAUCUGGAGAAGAGCCUGAGCACAGAAAGAUAUUUAAUAAAUACAGCAUACAGAAAAGGAUAAUGAAGAUAUUGAACAAGCAGUGGGGAACUGCAAUGAAGAAUAUAGUCAAAUACAAAGAGGGACAGAAUAGGACAGAAGAGAAGGGAAGAAAUAUGAAAGAAACAACGCGAAAAGAUAGGAAAAUAGCAGUCUACUGUGAUGUUCAGACGCAUAGAAAAGAAGAAACAAGAAAACAAGCUUUCGAUUGAGUUAUUUCCUUUCUCUCCCUUUCCCUUCACUUUAAAGAGUAGGUGAAAAAAAAAAGACCUUCUUUGGCAUUGCUGUUGUUUUCAUUUUUGUAAAUGUGAAUUACAUAUGAUUGUAUGCGCCGUUGUUGGUUAGCUUUCAAUGCAACUUGGCCAAGAUAAAGAAUGACAUAUUCUUUGAAAAACAAAGAAGCAGAAAAAAAAAAAAAAUACAAACAAGUUUUUCUUUUUGUUGCGAAACAAAGCCCAUAGAUGUAUUGGCUGCAAACACUCGGGUAUCCGUCCGCACCACUGUCGCGUGGAAUUUACAUUUAAAAAAAGCAAACUAAGAAAAUGACAUUGGUACCAAACUAAGUUCUUGCCAUUUAAGGGGAUUUUUCAUUCUCCUUUUCCAUCCAUUUCUCUUCCUCUUUCUCUUUUCAAGACUCAUUCACAGAUCGUAUACAAAUAAAUAAUUUUUUUAAGGGGAGAGAGAAACAAAGCAAAUGAAGAAUCAAUACCUGAUUUUUGGCUCGUAACAUUACAAGCUUUGUGACGGUGCCGAAUGGCUGAAACAACUGGAGAAGAUCACUCUAACCAACAGAAAAGAAGGGGAAAAAACUAAUCACAACUCCAAAAUCAUCAACACAAAAGAAAAAACUAGUCACAACUCCCAAAUCAUCAACAACAGAGCUUACUUACACCAAUUUUAAUCGGGAAAAAAAUAAAAAAUUACCUCCGAUAUCUCGUGCCCUACGUUCCGAACAUGAAUCACUUUGGAAGGCUCGCUCAUCCUCGCUUGUUUCUCUUCAACAAGACGAAGUACUUACCUACAAAAACCCUCAUCAUUUUGACAUUUUCGCGAUAAAAAUAACCAUAAAUUAAAAAAAAAUGGCGAAAAGAGCGGCGCAUUGAGAUCGAGAGCUACUCUACCCACGCGAUAACGCUCGAAACCCAAACAAAUCCAACAGAAACCAAAAAAAACGAGGAGAAAAUCCAUCCAUCAACACUACGAAUCAAACAAAUCACGUAAACACCCACACGAAAACACACGGGAACAAAAACGAACACCACAACUACCUUGAGAUGAGGCAGCUCGAAGGAUCUGGUUAGGGUUGCGCGACUGGAGCUCUGAGCAUGGGGGAAUUCUAGGGUUUUGCUCCAAUCGAUCGAUUUAGGGCUUCGAUUUGGGGGUGGUGGGGAGGGGACGAAGCGGCCGCGUGCCCUAGGUUGGAUCUCCUCUCCGUUUAUGUACUCUUGUUAUCUUCUUAGCUCGCGAGGUCGAGAGUUUUAUUGUUAAUAGGGAAAACUUCAAAUACCACCCCGAUAGUUUCAUAUUUUUUCACUUUAGUACCUUAUGAUUUAAAAUGUAUCAAUUUAGUAUUAUGUGGGAUGUGGUUUUAUUUUUAUCUUUUUAUUAUCGAUUCCACUAAUUUUUUUUAUUAAAUCAGUGACAAAGUUAAAACUAAAGGGUACUAAAGUGAAUAUUCGAUAAACCUAGGUAGGGUAUCUGAAGUUUUUUGUAUAUAAUUUAACGAAAUAUUAACGGAGAAGCUGACGAAAAGAUAAAAAUAAAACCACGGGACACUAACUUGAUACACUUUAAACUAUAGGGUACUAAAGUGAGAAAGUGCAAAACUACAGAUGAAGCGUGUUACGAUGCUCCGCAAAACACCAACAAAAAUUUCGUGGGGACGGUCCCAAUAGAGAUCUCAAUGGGUGCGGAUACCUGAAAUUUUUAUUCGAAUUCGAAUUCGAGCGGAACGCAUUUACUUAAUGUUAAACACAUAUAGUUUCAAAUACAGAAAUAAAAAUUGAAAAUACGAUGGAUUUGAAUUUGGCAUGGAUUUUCAUUGUACCCUAUCCGAACCCGAAUUAAUUUUUCAUUAUAAUAUAUAUAGAGAAAGCGAGAGUUGAGCUGGAAUACUAUUAAUAAUAUUUGGAUUAUUUUACUAUCAAUUUUUUAACCGUUAAAUCUACACUUUAAUCAAUUCUUUUCUAAAUCAUACUAUUCAACCAAUCACUCACUCAACCAACCAAUCACCCACUCAACCUCCUGGUCCACUACUAAACCCUAGGAAACCAUUAUUAUUCUAAUCUUAUAAUUUUUUUUCAUUCAAGGAUUAAAAAUUUAAUAGCGAAAAAGCCCAAAAAUACUAUUAAUAAUAUUCUGGCCCAAUUUUAUAUAUUUAUAUAUAUAUAUAUAUAUAUAUGUAUCAUUAUUAGUAUAUUAAUUAUAUUAUUUAUAGUGAGUACUAUUUAUCGAAUAUCGGAGCCUCCGUGCUUCCAUCAUUCAUGUUUCGACUUCGAAUGUUCGAUCAGGCUCCUUAAACUUGAUCUGCUAUUGAAGUACUAAAAAUAAAACUUUUUUAUUUUUCGAUAUAAUUUUGCCUAGGUAUCGAUGGCUCAAAAUCAAAUCAAAUUUCAGAUGGCGUAGUAAAGCCGUUUAAGUUUACUAUAUAGAAAUAUCAAAUCAGUGGUGUAAUUUUGAUAGAAAUUCUUAGUAUACUAUAUAAAACAAGAUCAUUAUCUUUGAUUUAAAAUUUUAAUGUAAAUUAUUACAUUUUUGUAAGAUUUUUAUUUCACCAGUUGUAUUUUAAGCCCUUCGAUGCAUUAUUGUAAAUGAUAUCGAAAAUUGUAAAAAUAUUUUAGAAUUUUUAAAUACCUUAAUCAGUUUAACGAGAGCGUUAUCGAUAGAUUUUGAAAGCGAAAUGAAAACCAGUGAAGCCGGAGGCCAUGCUUCUGAUAGUAGUAGACUCACUCUUAUUUUUAUAUAUUGUAUAUAUAUAGUAUAAGUAUAUUUAGUCCGUUGAAUACUAUCAUUCACAAGGUUAUGUUAUCGAGUUUUCACCGUUUGACUCCUUAUUAUUCCGUUUAAUUUAUUACUUAUUCAAACCAACCACCCACUUCACACUGGCCCACAUCAUCUAAACUGUAUAUUUCUCAAAUCCAAUUCCUAUAAAAACUUAAAGCACUUAAUAAUUGUGUGAUUUAUAAGUUAUUUCCAGCCUAUUAUAUUAUAUUAUAUAGUUAAUAUAAUAUUAUAUAUUAUUAUUUAUAGAGUAGAGCUACUAGCUAUCGAUGACGUGAUCAUUCCGUGCUUCCAGUCGUUUUCAUGUCGACUUUUCGAAUCGAUUGCAUCCGUUGUAACUUAUCCUAGAUAUUGUGUACUAUAAAUAAAUUUAUAUUUUUCUUAUAUUAUUGCCUAGUGACGAAUUGCCUAAAAUCAAAAAUAUUUAAAUUGGCGUAGUAUCGUAUUCAAGUUUAACGGUUGAGAAAUACAAAUCACGUGUGUAAAUUAUUGAUAAAAAUUCUUCUUAACUAUAUAUAAACAAGAUCAAUAUCUUUGAUUUAAAUUUUUAAUGUCAUAUAUUACUUUUGUAAUAUUUUUUUUCACCGUUUUUUGAGCCCCUACGUUUACUAGCAAAAAUUAUCGUUAAAACAUAAAAUAUUUCUAGGUACUUUUUAUAACUCUAUGAUCAAUUUAACGUAUCCGAUCGACUUCGAAAGUCGCCGAACACCGCGAAACAGCUGAAUCACGAUAAAGCUCUGUUGUUAUUUACUGAUAGCAUAUAGCAUCACAUUAUAUAUAUAUUAUAUAUAUAUAUAUAUAUAUAAUAUAUAUAUAUAUAUAUUAAAAAUUUAGAUUUAAUAUAAUAUGUCUUGAUAUAUUGUGAAGAGAAAUAAUUAUUGCAGGUUCGGAUUUUGCAUUUUUUGUCAGAUUCGAAUUUGGAUAUGAAUUUUUAAAAUCCAUCGGAUUCGGAUUUGUGUUCGGAUUUUUUAAAACUCACCCUAAUUCGACCCAUUGGCAUUUCUAGUCCCCAACCCCAUCGCCGUUCAUUGUGCAGAUAUUUUGAAUCUCAAAGCAGUAUGAACAGUGAAUGAAAAAGCGCUCAUAUUAGAAAUUAUUUUCACCUAUUUUUUUGAAUAAUUUCAAAAGUCUCGCCAAAAAUUAUAGAAAUGUUGUAAAUAUUUCUUCAAAAUUGUCAAUAUUUUUUUUGUUUCUAUAAAUUAAUAUAAUAAAUUAUAUUAAAAAUGCCAUUAAAAAUAAUUGUGUAGUAUCAUGUGAGGCUAAUAUAUUUGUCUUUUAUUGAAAAAUAGCUUGGUCUUUGUUUAUGAUUUAAUUUGUGAGUGCCUUUUUAGUGUACUCAAGUUCUUUUUAUCAGUAUCAUGUGAGUCUCACAUUAAUAAUAAUAAAUAACUAUCUGAAACUAAAAGUAUGGUAUACUUUUUUGUAAUUAUUUAGUAUUAGUACAGUGCAGUUUGUUGCAAUUAAUGAGUUAUAAAUUGAUAUACACUCAAUUGUAUUUAUUAUGUUUUCAAACGAAAUAAUAUUUAAAUUAAUUAAAAAGAUAUAGAUAAUAGAUGAUGGACAAAAUAAAAUUUUAUUUAGUUUUUUUAAAAAAUUAUUAUUAAUUUGGAUAUUGAUGAUAGUUUUUCUAAAUUAAAGGAUACUUUGAUACUUUUAGCUUAGUAUUAUUGUAAUUCAUGGUUAGAGUAAGUACGUGUACAUAUGAAAUUAACCCUCUGUUUUUUUUUAGGAAUAUCGUGUGUCGGAUCGAGAUAAUUUUUAUCGUGAAAAUGAGUCUGUUUGGUUAGAAUGUUGAAUGUAGUACUGUGGAAGAAGUAUCGUAGAAUAUAGUAUUGGAAUGUGCAAAAAAAUUAAAAAAAAAAAGUAGUAAAGUGUUUCGCUGAUUCUGUCAUAAAGUGCUAUUUCUUAUAGAAAAUUAUUUGGUAAGAUUUUAUUAAAGUGUUGUUAACUAUUAUAAAUUGCAUAAAAAAAAAAAUUAAAUAGGCACCAUCGUACUUUUUAACUUUUAAGAAUUAUGUAAUUUUGGUAAAAGAAAAAAAAAGAAAUUAUUUAAGCUGAUUGAUACUUUUAUCAAAUUUCAUAACUCUGAUUAUUUUUUAGCUAUAAAAAUAAUAAUUUUUUACCUAUCUAAAUAUGAAAACUAAAUUAAGAAAAAAUAACAGUCGAGGGCCCUCAAUCGACAAAAUAAAAUUUGAAUGUCUAUUUAAGAAUGGCCUAAUGUUGAGGAGGUAUUCAUACAUUUUUACCUAAAAAACUAAAAUUUUAUUAAAUUUAAUAAUUUGUUUGUUAUUUAGUCUUAAUUGAUCUACUUUUAUUGAUUAGAAAAUAAAUGCGGGUUUAAAUUUGAUAAUUUAAUUUUAGAAAUUUUAAAUAAAUGGAGAAAGAAAAAGAUGUAGUUGGGACAUAAUAGAAUACUAUAAUUGUGUAAGAAUAAAUUUAUCAUUUUAGAAAUAUGAUUUAAAUGAGUAUCAUUUCGUAUUAAAUAACUACAGAAAUUUCGUCUAUCAGCUUUUGCGUUCAGGCUUAAAAAAUAAUUAAUUGCGACUUGCAACUAUAACAGAAUGUAGUCAAACAGUAUUUAGCAACCCUACGCAUUAUUUGGCCAAAACAAAAAUCAGGCCAAACAUGCACAAAGUCUCAUUCAACAUUCAACAUAUAAAAGUUUUGAAUAUCGUUGGAGGGUGUUGGGAUUACAGUCGCCUUCGAAAAGGCGUAUGAUAUGGUUAACUGGUCGUUUCUUAGAAAGGUUUUAGAAAUGUUAGGCUACAAUGACAAAUGGUGCGGAUGGAUCGGCGAAUGUAUUUGUAACUCUAAGUUGGUGGUCCUUGUCAAUGGUGUAGCAAAUAAGUGGAUCAAAUCUAAAAGAGGAGUGCGCCAAGGCGACCUUCUAUCUCCCUACCUUUUCCUUAUGGUAGUUGCGUGUCUGGCCAGGAUGACGGAAAGGGUGGAGGAAUCUAAUAUGCUCAAAGGAAUUGGACCAACGAGAGAUAACUCCGUCACUUUAAUACAAUAUGCAGAUGAUAACUUAUUUUUUUGUGAGGCGAGAAAAAGAUAUAUGCGGAAUCUCAAAUUUUUGUGGUAUCUCUUUGAGUGGGCAUCUGAAAUAAAGAUUAAUAAUAAGAAAUCGGAAUUAUUUUACAUGAGGAGUAAAAAAGAGAAGAAUGUUUAACUCUCUGGUAUCUUGCAGUGUAAAGUUGGCAAACUGCCCACUAAAUACUUGGGCCUACCGUUGACGUGCAGGAAGCUUAAAACAGAUGAUUCGGUAGGCAUCAUUAAUAACUUUCACAGGAGAAUUGAUGGUUCGCAGGCUAAACUGCUAUCUAGAGGUGGCCGUUUAACUUUGGUUAACUCUAUGCUUUUUAACCUGUCGAUGCACUUUUUCUCUAUUUUUAAAGCACCUAAAUGGGCUCUAAAGCGCAUGGAAGCCUUGCGAAGGGACUUCUUUUGGAGCCGGCGAGCAAGCUAUACAGGGGGCGUCCACUUGGUUGCCAGGAAAAACGUGUGCAUGAGUCGGGAAGAAAGAGGUCUAAGAGUUAAGGAUUUGGCUACUAUGAACAAUGCUCUUCUAACAAAAUGGUGGUGGUGCUUUUUUUCUGAAAAGGAAUUACAAUGGACUGAGUUGAUCAGGGGAUUAUACUAUAUCAGAAGACGCUCACUAUUUGAAGGUCGAUCAUUUCGACCUGCCUCACAAUAGUGGAAGAACGUGUUAGAAUUGAAAGAUGUGUUCAAAAGUGGUCUAAGUUAUGAGCUGGAAGAUGAACUACUCAUUGAUUUCUGGUCUGACAGAUGGUGUGGUGACACGUCUCUUAAGUCUCGCUUUCCGGACAUUUUUGCUCUUGUUGAUCAUAAAGAGGCGCGAGUCGGUGAAUACUUCUCUCUCUCCUGAUGGAGCUGGCGGAAGAUGCUGAGAGGGGCGAGAAGUUACACACAACACAGUAGACAGAGAACUAAGGAAUUAAAGACCGCCCUCACUAACUUUCGAGUUACUGGUCAACCUGAUGUCAUCUUCUGGAGAUGGAACCCCGAAUAUAAUUUUACUAUUAAAUCUGUAUACUCGCUGGUCAGAACUGGGGGGGUCAAAGAUGUUGCAACACCUGUCAUUUGGAAAUUGCAAAUCCCGACAAAAGUCAAAAUUUUUCUCUGGUUAACCUUAAAAGAGAGACUACCUACUGUGAACAAUCUGCUUAAAAGAGGAUAGUUAGGAAAUAACUGUUGUGUCUUGUGUGCCGACAGUCUGGAGACAGUUGAUCACCUGUUGGUGGGAUGUGUCGUUAGCAAGUUCAUAUUUUUUUCAUUCCUUAAAUACUCCCACGUUCCCCCCUCCACUGAGGACGCCACUACCGCCUGGGAGAAGUUGUCAGGGAAGGGGUCACCGGCUGACAUUGCGAAAGCGCAGACAACCAUGGCAGCCACGUGGUGGUUGAUCUUGUGUGAAAGAAAUAACGUGAUUUUUCAGAUGCUACCAAUGGACGCUAUCUCUACUGCCCAUCAUGUCGAAGUACUAAUGAAAGAGUAGGCCAAUUUCUAUAGAGUUGGGCGGUGAUGACAUUUGUUGCAACCUUCCUUCGAUGUUUGUUUUCGUCUCUUCGGUUUUUCGUGUUUUUAUCUUUACAUUACUCUUUUUUUCUGUCUUUUGCCCUUUCUCUAUUAUUUUUUUUUAUUUUAUUGCCUCCCCGAGGCCUUGACUGUCUCACUUUAUGUAGCUAAAUUCACUUAUUUAAUGAAUGAAGCAGGUAGCGUGUCACCUUUCUCUCAAAAAAAAAAAGUUUUGAAUAUCGAAGCCACAUUAAUGGUGUAUGGAAGAGUCUCGUUUUAAAAUUUUGUUUCCUUUUUUUUUCAGAAACACUAAGUGUUGGGUGUCACAGUUCGGUUUGAAUUUUGGAGAGGCUUGUAUUAGAAACUUUUUUCACCACUUUUAUUAUUAUUAUUAUUAUUAUUAUUAUUAUUAUUAUUUAAUUAGAAACAUCAAGUGUUGGGUGGGACCCUCCUCAGCAUGAGAAUGUCUCAUUUAUUGAUUUAAAUCUUUUUAUUUAGGAACACUAGGGUUGGGACUGCAUUUGGCAAAGUUGCAUUGGGACCCCUCAACUCUAGAAAAUUUUGAAUGAGAUCCCUUUGUUUUGUAUUGCUGCUCUUUUUUAUUUUAUUUUUGUAAUUAUAGAUCUGAGUAAAAUAGAAUGCUCUUCUGGAAUUGAAUGGGAUCAUCUACUUUUGUAUUAGUGACAGAAAAUUCAGACUAAAUAUAAAUGUUUGAACUUUUUAUAAAUCGAAUUUUGAGAUUUUAAAAUAUCAUUUAUAUACUGAUUAAGUGGUUUCAAAUUUAUCAUAUAUUAGUAUUAAAAAUUACUAAAUUUGAAACCAUCAAAAACUUAGCAAAUUGUAUUGAAAAAUUACAAAAUUAAGUUUAAGAAAUUUAAAUAGCCGAAAUUAAGUUUAGUCAUGUCGUUCAUCAAUUCAGAUGUUUCAUUACUGGAAACGGCGAACGGUCGUAUCAUAUAUUUACUUAUUUUCUUGAAAACUGAAAAGAAAUUAAUAAAAAAAUGUACAACCAUGGCAUAGAAUAAAGGUUCUUUUAGUGAGGCUUUAACUUAAGAUUUUUUUUUCUGAAUUAAGCAAUUUUAGUGAAUUAAUGAAAAUUUUAUUAUACUUGUCUUUCAAUUUUAUUAAAUUUAAAAAGUUAAAUACCAAUAUACUACUCUACAUUUAAAUAAUUAAUUUAUAUAUUCCUCUAUAUUUUAAGUUAACCUAAUACAAUAAGCAUAACACAAGUAAAAUAAAGAGGGAAAAAAAUGAAAAACAAUUCAAGAAAAUUUUAAAAUAAAAAAUUUGCAUGAAACAAUCUAGUGCUAAUAUCCUGUAAAAUAACUAAAUAUAAUAAAGUUUUUAAUCUAGCUAACAAGUAUAGCCCAAACUUAAAAUAAAUAAAUAAAUAAAUAAAUAAAUAAUAGAAGUUAGCCCUUGUUUGGUAUUAUUAUUGUUUUUUUAAAUAUGCAUUCUCUAUAAAAUAGUAUGGGAUGGAUGAAGGGUGGGUUAUUUUGAAAGGGCGUAUUUCAUAAUUUUCGAUAGUUAGGGGGUCUCGGUGCAUUUUUACCGCUUGCGUUCUCGUUUUCUACUAUUAAUGUUAGAUCUGCGGAGUACGUUACCGUGAGUGGACCAAGCGUAGCUGUUCCCUGAACCCGGUCCACGGUUUCGUCUGUAGACCGCAAAGCAAGGGUUGGGAUUGGAACCAAAAAAAACAAAAAAAAAAACCUUCCAAACAAUUUUGGUUCAGUUCGGUCCGGUUUAUUGUUUGGUUCAAAGCGAGAAAUCAACCAAACUCAAAUUCAAAUUUUAGAUUUGAUUUGGUUCAAUUUUUUCACAUUGUGGGAACAAUCUCUCAGAAUGUUUCAUUUAUCGUUCACACUGUUUUAAAAUUCACUUAGAUUUUGUCAGAAAAGCGAUUUCAAUACCAUGUUAAAGAUUUUAAACCAACCGAUUUUUUCUGAAAUUACGAAAUGCUAAAGAACACAGUAUCAUAUGGAGUGUUCCCACAUUCUCCAUCAAAUUUUUGUUAUGACAAUUCUCUAAUUUAGGUUUUUUUUUUUUGGGUACUCACAACUUUUCCUUUGAAUCUUACUUCUAACCUUGCUUUAGGUAGAGAAGGACAGCUGAAAGUUGUAAACUUUCCUUUUAAGAAGCCAUCUGCUUCACCUAAUAAAUGUAACAUGGAAAAUGAGAAAUGCUUUUGAGUUUUCCAUAAACAUGAGUUGUUGAGGGAUUUAUACUAUAUAUAUUUUUACAUACGUGCAUAAAUUAGUUAAAAUUCUCGACAUUCUAAGCGGUAUUAGGCAAACACAUCAUACCCACUUAUAAAAUCAUAUAAAAUUUCACUAAUAUGCUUACAUUAUAAGAUUUCAAUUGUGUGAUUUGUACAACUUACAAAAAUAAUGAUCUAGUUCAAGCAUAAAAUAAUAAUUAUAGUAGACAAAAUAAAUAGAAAAUUACCAAUUAUAUGUAUGAGGAAGAAAAGGAGAAUCUAAAACUGGUGAUGAGCAAAGCAUUUUCCAUACUUACCAAUAUGAUAAACUUUGGCACGUGCUCCAAAAGUACCACAUGAAUUUAUUUUUACAUCAACAUAGAAAAUUCAGUAAUAAUGUUUAAUGUUUAAUGUUUAAUUCUAUCCAAAGUGGAAGUAUAAAUGACUACCCACACAGAAGGCAGUUUCUUUAUCAACUCAGUACACAGAAUUUUCUUGAAAAUCUAAAAACUCUUGCAUUACCCACUACUAUCUCAUUAUUUUGAAUUUAAGUUGUAAACUAACAAGAUAGUUACUAGUAAGUUUAAAAAAUUAAAGAGAGUCCCUUACCAACAGGUUAAAGGAAUCAUCACUCACAAAAUUGAACAGCUUAUCUCAACCAAACUUAAAUUCUAAAUCCAACAUAAAAUGAUCUGGAGCAAACCAAAUAUUGAUAGUCUAAAUUUCUCAUGAAGUAUCAAAGAAAAACCAAGUCUUCCCAUAAAAGCACCAAAAAGUAAAACUAGAGUCUCAAAUAGACCAAAAUCUGCAAUUAGAACAAUAAUAAAAUAUCUUCUUAACCGCAAGACUACACGCUUCGACAAAAGAAACUCAUCGAAAUCAAAUAGAUAAACUGCACGAAAAACAGGAGACGCGGCUUAGGCCUUAAGCUUGCCGUAGAAUUUCUGCUUCUCCUCAGUCGUCUGGAAGCGGCCGUGGCCAAACUUCGAGGAGGUGUCGAUGAACUUGAGCUUGAUCUCCUCGAGAGCAAGGCGGGAGGUUUGCUUCAACAAGGAUUGGCGGAGAGUAAUGACCCUCUUCUUCGGGCCCAUGCAGCAACCCUUGAUCAUCACAUAAUCGUCCUUCACAAUACCAUAGUGGGGGAAACCACCCAUCGGCGUGAUAUCCUUCUCAGUCCUGUUUAGAAAGGGUGGGGAAAAAAAAAAGGACUGUCAACCAGAGCCGCAUAAAACACAUGGGUCAGAUGGAAAAGAUAUAUAAAUGAGCUAAAGAGGGUGUCAGCAAUAUCAUUCGACUGGCCCUAUUAUAGUUCUUUCUUUUGUUACUUUAGUACAACUUUAAUCAGUUGACCAUUACUUUGAGGUAAAAUACAUUACUGGUCCUCAAUCUUUUAGCCAAAUUUCCAUUCGGUCCAUUACAUACUUAGUCGACUAAAUUUCUCCCUUAGAAUAGACUUUCAUGGACAUAAAAUGGACAUCGGAAUAACUGCGGUAGGAGUUAGGGACCGAACAGUAAAAAUUGAAAGGUUAAUCCCAAACUUAAGACUUGGCUGAUAAUAAUUAUCAUAUUUCAGAUAGUAAUUAAAGGAAAAGGAGGAAUAAUAACCUGUCAAACUCGGUUACAGCAGUAUGUGAUUCGUCGCCAGCUUUACCAAGCUUGUAUAUCUUCUUGUUCAAUUCAGUGCGGUGGUGGUAGCCAUUCUGACCGGCUCGAGCAACAGUGUAGGAAACCCUAGCCGGGUGCCAUGCGCCAAUACAGGCAACCUUACGAAGCCCCCUGUGUGUUUUGCGAGGAAGGCGGGUAACUCCCCACCUCGUCACCACACCUUCGUAACCCUUACCUUUGGUCACACCGAUCACAUCGAUCAUCUCAUCUUUUUGGAAGACGGCGUCGACAGGGAUCUGCUUCUCAAAGAAGCCAUAAGCAUAAUCCACCUUUUGUGCAAUGGUUCCUCCGUUCACCUGGAUUUCCAUCAGAUGAGCCUUCUUCUGUUUGAGGCCCUUCAUCUUUCUUAUCUGAAUCAAAAGCAACAUGACAAAAAACAAGUUCCAUUAGAAGAAUACAAACCACAUAUAUAUACACAACUCUAUCAUUAAGGAGAAAAUACAAGCAAUGGAGGGGUAAAAGGUAAACUAAUUGUUAUAGAACAAAAGUGUGAACACAUUUUUAGGCGGUACCUGAGUAUGAGCUAGCACACGGAUAACCGAAGCAUACUUUUUCAUCUUAUCGAGCUGCACUUGAAUUUCCUUCUUUCCUUCUUCCGUUUCAUAUUUCUUAGAGUACUUUGUGAAAGCCUUCUUCUUGCUUUUGUACCAGUUCUUGUAGAAUCUCCUCCUCACUUCCUCGCUCAGAUGCUGGGCCCACACUGUAUUAAGGGAGCGCAGGCCACGUGGCGUCUUGAUGUAUGCAACAAUACCAACAACAACCAUGGGCGGAGUUUCAAUGAUAGUUACAGCCUCGCAUGUCUCCUUCUUGUGAAGCUCUGAAUGUCACCAAGAGUUAAAUCAAAAGGAGUCAAUUAUAAGUAAUUAUUGCACAAUAAAAAAAACCUAUACAAAGAAAACAUAAGUACAAUGGCACAAGUUGAUGGCGAAGCAAAAAAGAAAUAGAUGAAUAGUGAGAUAUAUUAUCAGUGCCACAUGAAAGCAGAAACUUAUCAACCUUAAUGUAAACAAAAGCCAAUAAAACUAAAAUUUUCAAUAUAAGCACGAUGAAGAGUGUUUUGAGUUAGUUAUGGAAGUAAAUAGUGAAAAGAUGAGUCAUUUGUGAAAAAUUUCACCUUAAUUACCAAAAAACAAUUCUAAGACCAGCAAAGGCAAGUUUUAAGAUAAAUAUAAAGAUUAAUAGUUGACGCAUCAACUUUUCUUCUAGUCAUCAACACAAGAAGGUCCAAAAAAGAGAGAAAAUGUAAUAGAGUAGCAGAAAAGAUGUAAAUAAAAUGCAUAGAACAUAUAACCUUACAAACACCAUCCAAGUGAAAAAAAUAUACAAUGGUUCAGAUUAAAUAUUAACAGCAAAGCUGACAGGCUUACUGGAUCCUGGUUUGUCGACCUCACGAACAAUGUGAGUCAUUCCAGACUUGUAACCAAUGAAGGCAGUGAGCUUGCAGGGUUUUGUCAAGUCAUCCUUCGGAAACGCCUUCACUGCAUUGAGAAAGCCAAGCAUAAUCAUAUCAGCACAAGAAAAAGACAAACGCAAUGAUAAUUUCAGCAAUUUAAAGGGGUAUGCUACAAUAAAAUGAAACAAAAGUAACAGAUGCCAGUUUCUUGGCCAUAACACAACCAUAAUGCUUCUUAACCUUUAAGACACGAUAUGGUCCGAAAGCAUUUAAGUUGCAAUAGGAAAGAUGAAAGGAGAACAAAUCAAGCUGAAAAACCCUACCAAUUAAUGUUCCCCCAGAAAGACUGAAGUUAUGAAACAAGCAACUUUGCAGCUUACUAUAAAUUCUCAAUUUACGGAUCCGAUCUACUUACGAAUGUGGUAUAUUUCAUUAAGAAAGCAUAUUUGGAGCCCUAAUGAACUGCAACCGAGGCCGUAAACUUUAUAACAUCAGAUGGAAAAGCAUUAGAGCUCUAAAUCAUGAUGAUAGCUUAUAGAAGAAAAAUAGGUAACUUUAAUGGCAUCCGGAGAAAACUUUUAACAUGUUAUACGUAAUCAUACUAAUCGGAGUUACCUUUCCCACGGUGGCGAGAUGCUCUCUUCCUUGGAAGAAAGCCAAGGGACCCGUGCCUCGGGUGCUCGAACUUCCGAUGCGACAUCUCCCUUCCCUCUACUCACCCUAAUAUAAAUAAAUUAACUUCAUUUACAGAUUCAAAACAAAGUUACACCUUUGUACAUCAGCAAGGCGAUUUGACAAAAAACUACAUAACAUUAAAAGCUCUAUGAAUCAAAAGAAUACAACAUGUUGCAUCCUACAAUGCAAUAUCCAGUAUAUUUUACUCUACAAAUAACGAGGCUUAAGCAAAUAAAUUUCAUCUAAAACACGCCAUUAAUCUAUGAUCCAAAAUAACUAAUAGUACUUUAUCACAGCUUUUGCUACAUCAUUUAGCAUAGUACUAAUUAAAGCAAUGAAAAUUAAAAAACAAAAUAAGAGAUUUACAUGCACUUGAAUACAACAGAUCGAAGAACAACAACAAAAAAAGCGCAUUUUGAACGACGCAAAGGAAACGAAUCAACAGCAAACGACUUCCGAUCUAAGAAGCGAUUCAUAGGAACGAAUUAUAAACAGAUGUUACAGAGAAACUGAGAUUACGGUGUCGAUCGAGAGAAGAAACUAGGGUUUGAGAAACAGAAACCCUAAAUGAGAUGAGCGAGAAUGGGAGAUCGAAGAGACUCGUACCUCAGCGAUCGCCGCCUCCACGAAGAAGGGUUUCGGCCAAAACCCUAGCCAUGCUUUUAUACGCACAAGCACACUGGGGGACGCGGAUGUUAACUGAAAUGUCGAAAAUGCCCUUGCUCUUUCCAUUUUAGACCUAAAGGUCCAACCCUAGGCCCAGGUUUUGGGGAUGUUUAAUGGGUUUAGAUUUUAGCCGAAUCCGAAUCCGAUUUAUUUGAGACUAAACAGAUCUAAGUUUGAAUAUAGAUAUAAAAAAUAAAAAUUUCACGGAUUUUGAAUUCAAGUAUGAAGUUUUUUGUACCCAAUCUGAAUCCGAACCCAAACCCGAAUUGAUUUUAUAUUAUAUAAUAAUAUAUAUAAAUGAUGAUUGAUGUUAUAUUUAAAUUUGUAUUUUAAAUAUUUAGAUUUAAUAUAAUAUGUUUUGAAAGAUGAUGAAAAAAAUAAUUAUUUCAGAUUAAGAUUUUCAAUUUUUAAAUUUCAUCGGAUUCGGGUUUCGCAUUUUUUAAAAAUUGGAAUCUAAAUUUUCAAGACCGGCCCUCCGAGUAUCCAAAAUCUCGCCCGACAAGGCCCAACCUGGUAACCGAAAGUCGCAUAGAUGAGCUUCAAAUCCCAAGUUACAUGAGGAUUCGAACCCUGACCUUGUAGUUCGCAUCAUGCACCUAACUAUCAAACCGACGAGAAAUUAUUACCUGGACCAUAUUCUCGAUCAUGUCUAGGCGCGGAACUAGACCUGAGCCUAAACAAGGCUCGGCCUGAUUGGCUAUGUAUGGGCCGGACUUUGGAUAUAAAAAUUAUAACUUUGGAUUUGAAUCGGGUUUAAACAUUUAAGCCUGAAAAAUUUUUGAGCCUAUUUGUACAUGUCGAAGACCUGUCCAACCCCGAAAGUUCAAUACAUUAGUUAUCAAAAUAAGAUAUUUAGUUAUAUAUAUAUCUAUACUACUUAUAAAAGUGUGAGUUUUAAAUUUUUUUCUGUUUCCAAAAAUACCUUUAUCUUUUCUACUAAUAUUUUCAUAACCAGUAAUUUUCAACCAUUCGUUUCAAAUAAUUUUUCAAAUAAUAAUUUAUUCUCAAAUAUAGAUCUUAAGUUUUUACCAUUGGAUAUCAUCCAACGAUUAAAAAUUUUCUUAAUUAUUCUCAAAUAUUUUUUUUAGUAAAUCAUUUCUCAUUUGUCACCGUUGCCGGCACCGGCAUUUUUUUUAGUAAAUCAUUUCUCAUUUGUCACCGUUGCCGGCACCGGCACAUGGUCAUCAUCCUCCUCAUCAUCAUCAUCAUCACCGACACAUUGUCCCUGUCGUCACCUUCGCUACAUGUUAUUUGAUCCCACCGAAUUUUUUUUAAUUAGUAUUUCCUUAUUUUUAUGUAUCGCUACAUGUUAUUUGAUCCCACCGAAUUUUUUUUUAAUUAGUAUUUUCUUAUUUUUACGUAUGCGUUUAUCAAAUAUAAAAUAUAUAUUUUUUUAGUAAUAUCCUUUUAAAUAUUUUUUUUGUGACAUAGCUGUCAAUACUUUCUUACAUAAUGUGCACGUUUUCUCAAAUACUUAUAUUAUAAAUUAAUUAAAAAUAUAAAAAACUUAUUUAGAGAUAAAUUAAAGUUAGAAAAAAUAAUUAAAUAAUUGACAUACACCACCAAUAACGAUUUAAAAUUUGAAAUAUAAAUAUAAAUUUAAUUUAAAAUUAGAUAUGAUAUUUUGAAUUAAAAAUAAAUUAAAAUUUUGAUGCUUUUAGAUUAAAAUAUAUAUCCAAUAUUCUAAAUAUCCUUUCUAACGAGUGAUACUUGCUACCUAUCAUCUCUUUUCAUCUUUCUCAGAUAUCGAGCAUAUCUUGAUAAAUAUCCUAACAUAAUUUAAUCUCACAAUCUUCUUAUUCUUAUCCCAAUCUUAUAUAUAUACUUAUUCUUUUUCUCACGUAAUACCCGCUACUUAUGCAUUUGUAAUUGCAUAGGUAGCGCCGGCAUAUCAUUGUUGUCAUCUCCACCGGCACAUCUUUAAUCCUCCUUUUCGCCGGCACAACUUUGUUUUGACCUUUGUUAGUAUGCCGUCGUCAUCAUUACAUUGCAUGUAUAUCGACGGAAGUCCACGAAUUAUGCCAGCGCUGUUGAUGAUCUACCGACAUGUCAUCAGUGGUCGAGAUACAUGCAUAUGCACGUCAUCGGUGGUCAAUAAUGUAUGCAUUGAUAAUUUAUAUACACAUCAAUGAUACUCUCCCUCAUCUUAUAUCUAUUGCUAAUAUAUAUUUUUUUUUUGAAUUUUUCUUUUUUUUUCUAUUACUAAUAUAUCUUUUUUUUAAUAAUUUAAUUUUUAGCUAGAUUUACUUUUUUUUAAUUAAAGAUCUCAAAGUCUCACUCUAAUUGUUUUCCUUUUAUUAUCUUUAAUUUCUUCCGAAGCAAGUUUAAUAAUUAAAUUCAAAUUAUAUUUCCUUUUCUUUAGUUAAUUUAUUUUAAUAAUAUCAUUUUUCUUUACAUAUAAUAUACUAACACUUUCUAUCAAAUUUUAAUACGUAAAUGCUACAUUAGUUUUCUAUCACCUGCACAUACCCAAUUUAUACAAAAGUAUACCACACCUUUAAAAAGCUCACGAAUUUAAAUUAGAAUUCAAUUCAUAUUAUGUGAAAUUAAAAAAAAUUACAAAAUUCAUAAAUAUAACAAUGUUUCUAUGACAUUAUAUAUUUUUAGUAUCUAUUUACCAAAUUCACCAACUUUUUUUAUAUUGUUAAUUUUUAUGUUCAUUUAAUGUCUAGAUAUUAGGUUUUAAAAAUUUAUAAAUUUUAAUGUAUAAUUUUUUAAAAACGAAUGUUAAAUAUUGAAUGUGGUGUAUAAA